UGCAUUGACAUCUAUUGUAUUAAUUUGGCCGGGGAAUGCCCCGAAUUAUCUGUAUAUAUUUAUUCACCGGGGAAUGCCCCGAAGUACCUUGUACUUGGAAGAUGUUCGUGGUAAAGGCCCGAGGCAUCGGGUGAAGCGGUAGAGCGUAGUCUAGAGUAGACUAGAUUUAUAUUUCCGCAUUAUUUAUUUUUGGACUGUAUAAUUGGACUGGACUUUACAUUUCGGAUUGUUUUGUUUUGUUUGAUUUCUGUUCGCAAACCAGUUUAAGAGUUAAAUGGUUUUCGAAAAGGAUUUUUCAAAAGUGACUUGGCACACCGGAUUAUGCCAAGUGGCGACUCUAAAUAAAAAAUGCAAAUAAUCCUUUUCCGAAAUAAAUUUUCAUUUCUUGUCACUUAAAUAAUAAAGCUCUUUCGAACUUUAAAAUAUACAUUUUUUUUGGAGUACACGUAAAAAAAGAGGUGUGACGGCUUCUGGCGACUCUGCUGGGGAACAAAUGACAAGUUUUCAGAAUUCGAGCUAUUUUUGGAGUCGUAUCGGCUUUGUUUGGUAUUACGAGUGUAUAAGCUUGAUUUGUGAUUUUGUUUUGUGUUAUUUUUUUCAUUUUUGUGUGUUUUUCGUGCUCUUUGUUUAUAGUAUUUAUCCUAUGUGUUACCGCUUUUAUAUCUGUCAUCAUGAGUCCACCCCCCGGCCUUCUUUCUGCAACAAGUCCGUAGUACACGUGUUGUACACAACCUCUAGUUGAGUCACCCUUAUUUUAGGGGGGAGCCGUCGGUGUUAUGGAGUAGGUGGAAAGCAAAGCAGCCACUAUCGACCAUACGCUCCCCCGAACAGCCUUGUUAGUGAAUUACAACGUAGGUCAGCCUUUAAGUCAUGCUUAUGUGCAUCAUACGGAGACCUAGCGAGACCCACAUAGCCCUUUGUAGGAGACUCCCCUUUAAAGCAUCCCUCGUGCUAACUGCUGCAUUUUUAAGGGUAACGUGGUCAUUUGACGGACUGAUUUUAAAAAAAAAAAUUGUUAGGAAUAAGGCGCGUUGGCAAAAACGAAAAAGAAAAAAAAUAAAAAUAAAAAUAAAAAUAAAAAAUAAAAAGUAAGUCUAAAGGAAUAAAAAAAAGAGGAAUGUCGUGGUUUAUUUUAGAAUUCGUUAUGACUUUUGUUUUUCACAAUCCAAAAUCUCAAAAAGAUUUUUUUUACGUUUUGUAAAGUACCAUAAAUUCAAAAAGAAAAAAAAUAAAGAAGAGAAAAAAGUUUUGUUUGCCUUUUCUACUUAUUUGUCAAAAACAAAAAUGCCAAAAAGAUUUUUCUUCAUAAUUGGUGGUGUCAGUGCCUAACUGAAAAUCCAAAAGUUUUUUUUUCGUUUGUCUUUGGUAGUGUCUCUUAAGUUAGAGUCAAUUUAUUAGUGAAUCGUUAAUUGUCAAAUCUGGAUGAACUACGCAUACCUGAUUCCCUUCCCUUGGGUUGGGAAUCGUAGGCAACCCUCCGUGGGUCCGGUAAAUCUUUGUGUUGGGCUUUGUCUUCUUAUUAGCCUAGGUCUCUCGCCCCGUAAUCUAGAGUUGUUUUUCAAGUAGACUGAUUUCGCUCAGUACUUCUGUUCGGAAAAUUGGAGUCAUGAAUGUGGUUUUUCCCAUCGACAUAUGUUUGCGUCAAAAAUCCCAAGGGUUGGGAAUCGUCUACUCCUGUCAAAUUUUCUGAGAUAACGUCUUGUGUGUUAUUACAGGAUGGAUUUGUCCACCAAGUCUAGAGUUCUGAUGGUUGUCAAGGUGCCCAAAAAGUUAAUCAAAUGGUGAGAAAUGUUUAACUAUGUUGAUCAGCAGAAACUGGUUAAAAUAUUGGGUGAUCUUACGGAACUUCUGCAUGUUACCCCUCGUCCAGAUUUAAUAGAGGCUUUGUUGACCUUUUGGGACCCAAGUAGUUUGGUGUUUAGGUUUAGGGAAUGUGAAAUGACUCCUACUUUGGCAGAAAUAUACGGUUUGUUGCAUUCGCCCUACAUCGAGAAGGUUAUGAUCCGAGCACGAAAUCAUACUGGCGUAAGAUUUUUGCAGUCUUGUGGUUUAAAAAGUAAGGGUAUCCGUUUGGGUUGUUUAAGUGAUUCGUGGGUUUCCCUAGAUUUUUUGUUCGCUAGAUUCGGGCCCUUGGAAGGUUUUGAUUGCUUUUGGGACGAAUUUCAUGUGACUAGGGAGAGUGGGAGAGAAAGCGUCUUGAAGUCUUCACCCUCGCUUUGUUAGGUACUUUAGUGUUUCCAUUAGAAGAAAGACGUAUUAAUACCCGUUUGCAAUCUGUGGUAAUGACCCUAUUUCAUAAGGAUCAAAAAGACAAGGGCAUUAACCAAAAGGGAAGGUUCACUCUCAUACCCAUGAUCUUAACAGAAAUAUAUAAGGCUUUAACCGAAGUGAAGGGGGGAAGGAGAUUUUUUGAAGGCAGUAACCUGAUAUUGCAGAUAUGGGUGAUGGAGCAUUUACAUGCGCCUUCUUUAGUUAGACCAGACGUGUUAGAUCGUUGUAUUCCCAAUCGAGUGAAAGGCAUGGACUCCAGGUUGCGUUUGGAUAAAUUCUCGUUACCCNNNNNNNNNNNNNNNNNNNNNNNNNNNNNNNNNNNNNNNNNNNNNNNNNNNNNNNNNNNNNNNNNNNNNNNUCCCUUUAGUUAUGUUAGGGCUCAAUUGCACUAGACCAUACAGUCCUUCUAGGGUAAUGCGCCAGUUGGGUAGGCUGCAGGACGUGCCACCAGCAGUGGAUCUUCUGAAGAAUGUUGAGUACUUCAAGGACCAAGCCUUAGGUGAGAGCAAGUAUGAGCAGUUUUGGAAGCAUGCAACAAAGCUAAGUGUGGACACGCUCAAAAAAAGUUUGGAUAAUUCGGGCCAUACUCAGGGAUAUAAGGUCUGGCUUCAAUCUAUCCCCCGAGGUAUCAGUCAACCCUUACCAGCGCAGCUUAGAGGGAGAAUACAGGAAGAAUGCAUAAUAGACGACCAUCAGGAUGAAAGUGUAGAGUUCAAAGUGGAAACACUGAGAGUUCAGUUAGCAGAUUUGUUCAAGACGGUAGAAAGGUGUCAGAAUAAUCUUUUCAAGUGCACUCCUCAUAAAGCAGGAAUACGGGCCCGAAGCUUCUUCCCUGGUAUCAGGGUAUCUUUACAGGAUAUGCUACAAGGUUUGAAUGGGAGAAAGAGAACUUCAGAGGCAGGUCCAUAUCAGUCAGGGUCAUCACGCAGAGCACCAGUUGAAAGACCAUUUCCUAUCUUAUUUCAGUUUGAGUCUUUUAUGUGUCUGUCAUCGUAGGGUGGUGUCUACUUUAAGUCGAAGGCAAGUUGUUUUGGUAUUAGGGUCUUUAUUAGUAAUUUCACCUAUGUCGUUUUAGGGGUCUAGAAUGUCGUUUCGUAUUUGUUGUUUAGUUUUAAAGUGGUCCCAAACUUUUGUACGUCUUUGUAGUUUUCUUUCUUCAAAAUGUUAAAAUGUUUCGUCUUUCCUUGUUUGUUUAUUUUUGUUUUCGUAAAAAAAAAUGAUUGGCACAAACUACGCAAGAUCUGAUUCAUGUACAACAUGAUGCGUAGGCAACCUACUUUUGGGUUCGAUCUAAUCAUUUUGUUUUAUUGUUUUUCAUUAUUUUUCCUCUUUUAAAGAAAAACAAAAGCCAUAAAGAAUGAUAAAAUGAAGGUAGAUAACGAGAGAAAAGAAAAGAGCAGAGAUUGAUAUGAAAAAAAGAGAAGGAAAAAAAAAAGAAAAGAGUGGGAAAGAAAAAUAAUAGGUGUAGAAAACAAAGUGUAGAGAGAAAUCAGGAUGAUGUUAAAAUGACCUCGCUACCCUCAAAAGUUGGUAGAAAUGAACAUGAAUUUAGGACAAUUUUACCAAUGUGAUUCCCAUGCUUGUUGUGUGCCUUAAUCCUAACGGAUGUCGUCUUUGAUGAGCAUGUUCUUUCAGAUAAUAGUGGUAGGUUUGCAGUACUCUAGCUAGUCACCCAUACUUCACUAGAUCCAAAGAAAAGCUCGCCAUGGCUAGCAGGGAGAUUGAAAAUUCGCUCAUUGACCCAGAUCAGGAUCCCAGGGAAGAAAGUUCUGAACACAAUGAUGAGGUAGUAAGACUCAGGCAACAAUUGAUAGAUUUACACCGGGCAUGGGCCAGCGGAAUGCCUCCUCCUCCGCUCCCUGAAGGUCUUGGAAAUAUCUUUAAUUGUCCACCGCUCUCUCAGGCGCAAUUCUCUGCUCCUACUGAGUCACCUGAGCACGCGCCAGGAUUCACUCCGCGACAUUAUUAUCCUGGCAGUUCUGGUGUGCCCUUGGCAGCUUCCCAAUUAAGACCCGCUGCUUGUCCAGCGCCACCGAUCACACCGGUAUUCGUGGCUCGGCUACCACAUGAAAUUCUCAUAUAUGCUGUGCGUCCCACAAUGAGGCUUCCUAGGUCUGCCAGUGAGCCAGUACUGAAGGUUUCAGAUGGUCAGUAUUACGCCCCGGAGCCUACUUUGCAAAUGAAUGAACCAUAUGGGUACACUCAGCCUCCUGUAUUUCUAUUUGAUACGGAGAAACCUGUCGCAGCAGAGGAACAGGAUAUCAUAGCCUGGAAAUUGAAAAGUUUAGAACAAGCUAUGAGGAAUUUGCAAGGAAUAGGAGAUUAUAGGAGUGUUUCCUAUAAAGAUAUUUGCAUGUUCCCAGACAUCAACCUUCCCCCCGGUUUUAAGAUGCCUAAGUUUGAGAAGUAUGCAGGACACGGCGAUCCUAUGGAACACUUAAGACGUUAUUACAGCCAGUUGAGGGCUGCAGGAGGAAAAGAAGAACUGCUCAUGGCGUUCUUUGGUGAGAGUCUUUCAGAUCUGGCCUCAGAAUGGUUUAUCGAUCGAGACAUCGAUAAAUGGAACAGCUGGGAUUAUUUGGUGUUUGAAUUUGUUCAACAUUUUCAGUACAACAUCGACCGGAUUUUGGAUGAAAAAUCCUUGGUCAAUAUGAAGAAAAAGAGCACUGAAGGUUUUAGGGAAUACACGAUAAAGUGGCGUGAACAGGCCGCCAGGGUAAAGCCUCCAAUGAAAGAAAGUAAGUUGGUAGAAGUUUUCAUUCAGGCGCAGGAUGAGACCUAUUUUCAACAUUUACUUCCGGCAAUGGGAAAAUCUUUUAUGAAAGUCCUCAAAAUGGGGGAGAUGAUACAGGACGGAAUUAAGACCGGCCAAAUAGUGGGUUUUGCCGCAUUAAAAGCCACCACACAAGCGAUUCAAGGUGGAUCUGCCGCAUUUGGAGGUAAAAGGAAGAAAGAGGAUGUAGCGACUGUCGUAGCUGGAACCCAUUCCUAUCCCAAAAGACCACCUCGCCCCUAUCCCCAAUCCCAAGCCCAAAUCUACACCCAAGCUCCAUAUAUUCCUCCCCACCAUUACUACCCUCCACAAAACCCUUUAUAUUCCAUUCCACUACCCCCGUACCCAGUAUAUAGUGCACAGCCAUAUGCCCGAACCCCUUCUUACCCGCAGUGGCGCACGCAAGCUCCACAAAAUUGCCUAUUCGCUCCAUCAAAUUACCAAAACCCCUCCAGACCCAGUUUUCAGCCUAGGCCCGAGUAUAAGAAAGAGAAGGCGGUCAAAAAUCAAUUCACACCUCUUGGGGAGUCAUAUGCUAGCUUGUUUGAUAGGUUGAGAAAGUUGAAGGUUUUAAGCCCAAUUCAAGGAAGGCUUUCAAAUCCACCGUCGAGGAAUCUCGAUUAUUCUUUAUGGUGUGCGUACUGUUCUGACAUUUGAGGCCAUGAUAUUGAGAAAUGCUGGCAUUUAAAGAGAGCUGACUAAGAUUUAAUUGACACAAAUCAGGUCCAGGCCCCGGAGGGUCCAAACAUUAACCAGAAUCCGCUGCCAACCCAUGCUGAAGCCAAUAUGUUAGAAUUGAUAUAUGACGAGAAAGAGUCUUCGAGGGGUUAUAAGCCUAUUGUCAAGAUACUGACCAUUGAGGAGAAAUCGGUGAAUGUAGCGGAGUCUUUGAAAGCAAUGUCAUUGAGCCAGGAAGGAAUAAGAGAAGAUAAAGCCCAAGAAAGCACAAAAAAGCCCUGAUCAUUGUACAAGGCGCCAGAAAGUAUGUUGAUUUAAGUCAGGAUAAACCUAAGUUGACAGUGGUGGGAUCUUUGAGUCAGCCCAUCUUGACGGUGAAAGGAGCGUUGGCAGUGCCUAUUAUCCUCAAACCGGUGACCCAACCUCCGAUAGUUGAUACGAAAAGAGUUCCCUGGAAUUAUGGGCGGAUUGUGAUGACCUAUCACGGGAAAAAAGUUGUGUAAGAUGUAGAUGAGGUAAGGGGUUUGAUUAGGUCAGGAAGAUAUUUCGUGACUGAAAGCUUAAGAAAGUCCCAGACAACGGUGAGUGGACCGUCAUCUAUCAAAAAGCCUAUCACCAAAGAAGAAGCUGAAGAAUUUUUGAAAAAGAUAAAAUUGCCAGAGUAUUCAAUAUUGGACCAGUUGAAGAAAACCCCUGCUCAAAUUUCCCUUUUAUCUUUGCUGUUGCACUCCAAGGAGCAUCGUGAUGUUUUACUGAAGGUAUUAAAUGAAGCAUAUGUUCCAAGGGAGAUUACAAUCAACCAACUUGAUAAAAUGGUUGGAAAAAUCUUUGAGGUCAAUCGGAUCAGCUUUUCUGACGAUGAAUUGCCUGUUGAAGGUACAGGGCAUAAUCGGGGCCUUUACAUUACAGUGAAGUGUGAAGAUUUCAACGUCACUCAUGUUAUGAUUGAUAGAGGUUCAGGUGUAAAUAUUUGACCUAUUUCUACUUUAUAAAAGUUGAAUAUUGGUGCUGACAGGAUCAGGCCCAACAAUGUAUGUGUUAGGGCUUUCAAUGGUGCAAAAUCAAAUUCCAUUGGUGAAAUAAAACUAAUGUUGACCAUAGGGACUGUUGAGUUCGCCAUAGAGUUUCAAGUAUUGAAUGUAGAAUCCUCUUACAAUCUGUUGUUGGGAAGGCCGUGGAUCCAAAAGUCCAAGGCGGUUGCAUCUACACUACACCAAAUGAUUAAGUUUGAGCAUGACAGGCAAGAAGUAGUUAUUCAUGGUGAAGGAGAUUUUUCAGCUACGAAGAUUCUCCCUUGUCUCUUAUUGAAGCAAAUAACGUAGAGGAGACAUUCGUCUAUCAAAUUUUUGAUACAGUGCUAGUGAAUCGUAUCCUUGAAUGGCAGGCGAUACCGGGACCGCAAUUGUCUUCUGCUUUUAUCACGAUGGUGAGCGAACUUUAGAAAUACGGAUUUGAGCCAGAAAAGGGUUUGGGAGCGUCUCUGUACGGUAUAGUUCAUCCCAUAUGUUCGAGUGAGAAUGUGGGCACGUUUGGUCUGGGAUUUGAGCCUACAGCUGAAGAUCUGAAGAAAGCCAAGGGAAGGAAAAAGGAAAUAUGGUCACUCCCUCGCCCAAUGCCACUACUCAGUGAAUCAUUUGUUAAGAUCGGUGUCACGAACCAUGUGGAAUUUGAAGUUGAAUUGGUUGAUGACUUCCAAAACCUUUUUAUUGAAGUUGAUAUGGUCGAAGCAGGAGAAGGUAGGCAGACGUGCAAUUCAUAGUUCCAGCUGUUCGGCUCAAUAAUUGGGAAGUCACUCCUCUCCCCGUCAGGAGGGAGUUUUGGUAGUUUAUUUUUUUUUUCUUUCUGUUUAUCCGAGCUAUUUCAGGGUUGUAAUUCGGAUUUUAGUUUGUUUGUGUUAUGUUGGCAUCUGUGUUUAAACCCUUAUAUCUUUUUAUUUAAUGAAAUGCAAUGUCCCUUUUGUUUCGUGUCUAAUAUAUUUUGUUUUUCUUUUUUACACAGUUCUCUUUAUGCUGAUUCUAAUGACAUGACAUGUAUGUGAAUUUUUAGCCUGAUCUUAAAGUCCAAACUAAUCAAGAUGUAAUGAAACAGGAUGGGGGAUAUGAUGAAGAAGAAGCACUAGAAGAAAUAAGCAAAGAGUGGGAACAGUUUGAAGACAAACCGAAUCCUAAUUUAAAAGAAACUGAGCCAAUAAAUCUAGGGGAUCAAACUGGCUUACUAUGGAAAAGGAUUCUAUUCAAUUUGUUUGAAAGUGUCAUCAAUGUCAGGUACACGGUGAUCUGAUACGUUCUUCUCCUGUUGAGUUGCAUGCAAUGACUGCUCCAUGACCGUUCGUGGCUUGGGGAAUGGAUAUGAUUAGACCGAUUGAGCCGAAGGCAUCAAAUGGACAUAGGUUCAUUUUGGUAGCCAUUGACUACUUUACAAAGUGGGUAGAAGCAGUAACUUUCAAGUCAGUGACAAAGAAGGCUGUGGUAGAUUUUGUUCAUGCCAAUAUCAUUAGUAGAUUUUGAAUUCCUAAGAUGAUCAUUACAGACAAUGCUGCCAAUCUCAAUAGUCAUUUGAUGCAAGAAGUAUGUCAACAUUUUAAGAUCACGCAUCGAAAUUCUACUCCAUAUCGCUCAAAGGCCAAUGGUGCUGUAGAAGCUGCUAAUAAGAAUAUAAAAAAGAUACUGCGAAAAAUGGUACAAGGGUCUAGACAGUGGCAUGAAAAGUUGCCAUUUGCAUUACUAGGUUAUCGCACCACUGUUCGGACUUCAAUAGGGGCAACUCCAUAUUUAUUGGUAUAUGGGACAGAAGCGGUCAUCCCUGCAGAAGUUAAAAUUCCCUCUCUUCGAGUCAUCGCAGAACCAAAGAUUAAUGAUGAUGAAUGGGUAAAAACUCGACUGAAACAUUUGAGUUUGAUUGAGGAAAAAAGGCUAGCGUCUGUGUGUCAUGGCCAGUUGUAUCAGAGGAGGAUAGCUCGAGCGUAUAACAAAAGGGUCCGUCCUAGGAAUUUUGAAGUUGGUCAGUUGGUAUUGAUACGUAUCCUUCCUCACCAGGUUGAAGCAAAAGGCAAGUUCUCCCCUAACUGGUAAGGUCCCUUUGUUUUUAAGAAAGUGUUGCCCAAUGGAGCCUUAUAUUUGACAGAUAUUGAAGGCAAAAUGGCAGAAAUAGCUAUCAAUGCUGAUGCGGUCAAAAGAUACUAUGUAUGAUAUUUGAUCCUUUGUUGAGUUUAUUUCAUGUUUAGUACUUGCAUUCUUGAAGAUUGAGAUGAUGAAGACAUUUUAUUCUUCUAUCCAAAUAUNNNNNNNNNNNNNNNNNNNNNNNNNNNNNNNNNNNNNNNNNNNNNNNNNNNNNNNNNNNNNNNNNNNNNNNNNNNNNNNNNNNNNNNNNNNNNNNNNNNNNNNNNNNNNNNNNNNNNNNNNNNNNNNNNNNNNNNNNNNNNNNNNNNNNNNNNNNNNNNNNNNNNNNNNNNNNNNNNNNNNNNNNNNNNNNNNNNNNNNNNNNNNNNNNNNNNNNNNNNNNNNNNNNNNNNNNNNNNNNNNNNNNNNNNNNNNNNNNNNNNNNNNNNNNNNNNNNNNNNNNNNNNNNNNNNNNNNNNNNNNNNNNNNNNNNNNNNNNNNNNNNNNNNNNNNNNNNNNNNNNNNNNNNNNNNNNNNNNNNNNNNNNNNNNNNNNNNNNNNNNNNNNNNNNNNGUCUCCCUCAGCAUAAGAAAUCAGGAAAGAAAUAAAAAAAAUGAGAGUCUUAUUGGUGAAAACCCCGUGGGCAUCAUAAGGCGAUAGUGAGUUGAGAGAAAUGAAAAUGAGAGAGUCUUAUUGGUGAAAAUCCCGUGGGCAUCAUAAGGCGAUGGUGAGUGGAGAGAAAUAAAAAUGAGAGAGUCUUAUUGGUGAAAACCCUCACGGGCACCGUAAGGCGAUGGAGAGUUUAAGAGAAAAGUAAAAAGGGAGAAGAAAGAGAUUUGUUGGCGAAAGUCUUUUAAGAUGUCGUCAAUCGAAUGUGAUGUAUGAGUCCAAUGGAUUUGAAGAAGAGGCUCAGCAGCAAAGGCAUGAGCUCAACAACAAAUUGGGAGUUUGGAUAGGAAGAUCAGGCAGCUCAAUCCAAAAUGCAUGUCAUACUCAUUAGAGUUGGUUGUCGUAUUCAGAUAAGUUUUCUUUUUGAAUAUGGGACAUUUUCCUUUUCUUUCAUUUACAUAUUCAUGCUUUUGUCCUUUUUAUGUCAUUUAUCAAAAUAAAAGUCAUCAUAAUUUCUUUACAUUUUAAGUCAAGUCUGUGUCAAAACAAGUGAGAAAGGAUUUCAAAAUUUACUACCAGUCUUUCCAAUUAUGUGAGGAAAAGCCAAGGAACAGCACAGGCAGAAAUAUGAUCGUAAUUCAACACGAAGAAAAAGAAGUCUAUCAACCGACAGGCUAUUGGAUUCGUAGAAGCAUUCAGAUUUGGGAAAAGAGUGCACCUCAGGGGCAUGGUAAAAUGGAAACCCAUUAUUUGAGUCAGAACUCAUUUCCCUCAAUCUGGAUUCGGGUCGAUGAUGCGGUAAGACAGGGCUGUUAGCGAUUUGGAACAAAGAUGAAAGGAACAAGUGCUGGGAAGAUACCUGAGAAGCCAAGAUCUGCAAGCCACCACUAAGUUUUUAACUGACAAAUUUUCUUUGUUGAUAUAGGGGCAAAUUUGCUUCACUUAAUUCAGCUAUCAUUGGAAAUGCACAUCCAUGGGAAUUUACUUUCAGUUCAGGACCCUCCUGAAAAAUGGGAUUUUAGUUUCUGUUUAGGACGCUCCUGAAAAAUGAGAUUUUUACUUUUGUUCAGGACCUUCCUGAAAAAUGGGAUUUUACUUUAUGUUCAGGACCCUCCUGGAAAAUGGGACAACGCUUUCAAAAAUGAAAUACUACUUUAUUAUAAUUCUUGUUUGGGAUAAUUUUCAUUCUAGUUUUAAUUUUGGGUUUCAGGAGCCCGCCUGAAGAACAGGGUGAUGAAAUAUCAAGACAGAAGCCCGCCUGAAGAACAGGGUGAUGAAAUAGCAAGUCUAGAGCCCGCCUGAAGAACCGGGUGAUGGAAUAGCAAGUCAGGAACCCGCCUGGAGAAUAGGGUAAUGAAAUAAAAAGUCAUGCAACAAAGCAAAGUAAUUGAAAGCCAAGCAACAAGUUGAAAGAAAUGGCAAGUCAGGGGCCCGCCUAAAGAAUAGGGUGAUGAAAGUCGAGUCAAGAACCAACAGAAGCUGUAUAGAUAGGAGUUUUGUAAUUUCAUUUAUGUUUUAACUUGUAAUUUUUAUUUUUGAUGUAAUAACAGAGCCGCGGACUGGAACCUCGACGGAACCUCACUCCACUCUCCAACUCGGUAUAGUCCACCUCUUCCAAUCCUUUGAAAUAGCCGUGACUUGAUUUUCUCAUAAUUUGGCUAGGAAAGAUGUCUUAAGUCAAGAUCCGAUUGUCCUUCUUCCUUCUGUUUCUUUCUUUGAAUAAUGGUCGGGUCAAAAUUUGGUUUCGCUGUCUACUUAUUUACCUGAAAACACUUCGUGUUUACAUCCAAAGGGGGCAUGAUUUAGACACCUAAUUUCGUCCCUCCCCGAUGUCGUUUUUACCCAUUUUAUUUUUAUCCUAUCGUGUACCCUCACCCAUGUUAUUAUACCCUCACAAAAUACGAAAAAAUAUAACAAAAUCCCUAACAAAACCUAUCCUAACUAAUUCUAUCUUAUCCUAACAACCUACCCAAUCAAAAUAAACCACCUCCCUACCCCCUACCCCAAUGACCCUACCUACCUUACCCCUUUUCACACAUUUUUGAACCCAGGGAAGGAUGAUAUAUUGAUAUACGAAAACCAUUUUGAAAAGGAAAGAGCUUCAUCUUCUUCACAGUGAAGAUAUACAGCAGAUCUCAAUUUUUUUCGGCUCCAAAAAAUCGAACCUCUCAUCACCAUUAACAUACACGUACACACAUCACCCAUAUUUUCCCAUGGAUUAACACCAUACGCACACACAUAAACAAAAUCAUGCACAUACUCGAAAAUCGACAACCCGCACAGUAAAGAGAAGCAAGUUAUGGAGGGUGUUUGACGGAAUUUCGAUGAGAAACCCAGUUUCUGUUCAAGUUUUCCUGGCGACCUCGGUGCCAGAGUCAGCUUCAAUUGAUUGUUGUCCGAAUCAGUCUCCUAAACCCCAAAGUUUUUUUUCCUUCUAUUCCUGAACUAUAUCUCGUUGGAAUCCGACUAUUUUAGUUUUUUUGGUCACCGUCUGCUCAUCGGAGCUCAAUUUCUGUAGCUUUUUUGGGUUCGAUUGGAUUUACGGAGCUUUCAGGUUUCAUGUCUUUGCGAUUCAUUUUCGAAAUCAGGUUUCGGAUCCCUCGGUUUUCAUUCCUAUUUUUGGGUUUAGUUUUCCGUCCAUCUCGACCAGUUUUUGGGUUUCAAAGUCCUUGAUAUCGAAGUUGGGAUUCGUCACUAUUGAGGUUCUGUUCCGAGUUCUGAAGUCCGGGCCUUCUUAAAUGUUAUUAUCCACGAAAUCGACUAUCAAAAGGUCCGAUCCUACUCUUUUCCUCUUUAAUUUUAUUGUUUACUAUGUUUUGAUAUUUGGAUUACGCUUUGGGUGUUGUUUGAUACUUGUUGGUGAUGAAUGCAUGUUGUUUUGAUUGGUGAUAGGUUGCUAUUUUGAUAUUGACUUGUUGUUUAAUGUUGUUGAAAAGUGAUUGUGGGUCGUUGAAAUAGAAAUGGUGAAUUUGGAUUGAUUAAAAACUUUUGGUUUAAUUUGGUUUAAAUAUAAAUAUGGUUAAAAUGGACUUGGGGGCGAGAAUUAAAAUUUGAUAUAAUUGGUGAUUUAGAUUAGUUGAUUUCAUAGUGUGUUUAACGUGAAACGAGUGCUGACUGAACUUGGUAGUAUCGUGAUACGCAGUUUGGUUUAGGCAAAGGUAGGUUGGGUAGGCAAGAUGUAAGACUUGGGAUUGUUGAAUGGUGAAAUGUUCGUGGAAUUGUUUUGAUUUAUACAUUGACAUCUAUUGUAUUAAUUUGGCCGGGGAAUGCCCCGAAGUAUCUGUAUAUAUUUAUUCACCGGGGAAUGCCCCGAAGUACCUUGUACUUGGAAGAUGUUCGUGGUAAAGGCCCGAGGCAUCAGGUAAAGCGGUAGAGCGUAGUCUAGAGUAGACUAGAUUUAUAUUUCCGCAUUAUUUAUUUUUGGACUGUAUAAUUGGACUAGACUUUACAUUUCGGAUUGUUUUGUUUUGUUUGAUUGUUUUGCGUGCUUUUGUGUGGUUUAUACAUUUCGUAAUGCCAAAAUAGUUGAUACACUCUACCAAGCGACCGUGGUUGAAUCACGGGAUCGAGGGGUGCCUAACACCUUCCCCUCGAUCAACAGAAUUCCUUAGCUGGAGUCUCUGUUUGCAAACCAGUUUAAGAGUCAAAUGGUUUCGAAAAGGAUUUUCCAAAGGUGACUUGGCACACCGGAUUAUGCCAAGUGGCGACUCUGAAUAAAAAAUGCAAAUAAUUCUUUUCCAAAAUAAAUUUUCAUUUCUUGUCACUUAAAUAAUAAAGCUCUUUCGAACUUUAAAAUAUACAUUUUUUUUGGAGUACACGUAAAAAAAAAGGUGAGACAGAAUUAUCGUAUGUUAUGUAUUUUGCAGCUCCUGAAUUCAAGAUUCAGGAACUAGAAUCAAUACAUGAAAGCAUAAAAGAGGAUUAAAGUGAAGCUAGAUUAUACCAGCACAAUUGGCAAUAGCAUUAGCAUUAGAGAAAUGUUCUCCCUGUUGGCCAGACUUCACCAUUUGUAAAAGUUGAGAAAAUUGUUUUUGUGUGAUAUUUUUCCUUGAAGAAUGUGUCAUACAUUGGUCUUUUCCUGUUUCCUCUGAAGCCAUUGCUUGGUUACUGGGCGACCCUCUUUGAAACCUCUUAGUCUUGGUAAACUUAAAAUUAGGAGGGAAUCUUUUUAACCUGUAGCAAUGGUCGAUUUUGUAACCAAGUUUCUUCCAGUAGUUGCAAAACAUAUUGUUCUUUUCCUCAGAAUAUCCUUUAAACUUGUUGUCUGGCCUAUUAUUUUUCUGAUUUCCUCCUUGCUGAUUUGCUGACAGGAAAGCUAAUUCAAUGAGAUAUUUAUUUACUCAUAUGUAUCUCACGUUGUUUUUCAUUUUGGAUGAAAAGUGAGUAAGCCUGAUUAAAACUAGGGAGUGGCGAGAUCAUUAGAAUAAUGCUUCGAACAGAGGAAUAGUUGUCAUUAAGACCCAUCAAGAACUGGAUUAAACGAUCAUCCAGAAGUGAUUUGAGGAUUUUGAAUUUCCCCCCACAGGUCCAAUCACAACUGUAGUGCACACAAGUAUUGAGAGCAUCAAGCUCAUCUCAGAUCCUUUUUACCUUAGUGUAGUAUCCGGGAAUGUCAGAAUUUCCUUGAACCAGCCCGUUCAAUUCCUUUUGAAGCUGAUAGAGUUGAGCACCGUUUGAUUUUCCAUAUCUGUCUUCUAACUCAUUCCAAAUUUUAUGUGUUGUUUUGGAGUACAACACACUUUCUGCGAUAUCUUUUGACAAAGAGUUUAAGAUCCAUGAGAUUACCAUGUCGUUACAGCGGCUCCAUGGUUGAAAAAGAGGAGAAGAGGACUCUGGUUGAGCUAAACUCCUAUCAAUGAACCCUAGCUUAUUUUUAGAAAAUAGUGCGAUAUGUAUAGCUCUUCGCCAUCCUCCGUAACCCUUUUCAUCAAAAACUGCAUUCACCAGUAUCAUUCUCGGUGAGUCAGAGGGGUGAAGGUAGUACGAGUGGAUGGAAUCAGUCAAGGUAGAGUUGGUUGCAUCCUUGGUGCUACCAGUAGCUACUGUUGUUGUUUCAUUGGGUGUUGGAUUCACCAUUGUCAAAAAGAUGAGAGAAAAGGGAGAAACAAAUAACAAGGAUUGAAAAUGAUAUGAAAAGAAGGAUCAACCCUAAGGCUAUGAUACCACGUAAGAAUUGAAAAAAUAUUGAUUGUAUUGAAUGCAUUUCUCUGUAAUACCAGGACGCAUAUACACAAAACUUCUAACCGGCUGAAUAUAUACCUACCAUAUUUACCCUAUAGAAAAAUAUGGACUUAAUAUAUACCUACCAUAUUUAUCCUAUUCCCAACAAUAAGUAUGGAAAGAAAUAAAGUUGCUGACAUGGAUACAAAUUAGGGAAAUAAAAUGGUAGCUUUCAUAAAUUACUCAUGUAAAAAAUUAUUUCACUUGAUUACUUUUGUCGAUAAAACUCUUCUUCCUCUUUCUACCGUAAAAACUUGGCUUGUUGUCUAAAGUGGAGAUUGUGGUUCCAACAACUUUCACUAACACUAGUAUAUAUCAUGUAUUUAUUAAUUGGAAUUGUGAUGGAUUAGUAACUGAUAAGUUGUGGAUUAGAGAUUUUGAAUUUGAAUCAUAUUGGAUACAGAGUCGUAAAUUUUAACCUUAGUGUAGGACUUUUUUUUGUUGUAAAUCCAAAUUUAAUCGAGGUUGGAUAUGAAUAUCAAAUAACGUUUGAAAAAUAAAAAAUAAAAAAAAGUUAUUCUAUGUACUUCAAUCCACUUUGACUUGAACAAAUGAGCAAAAAUUAUGUACUAGUAUUUUUGUUUACGUUGACAUUUAUCGAAAAUAGCUACUAAUCGAGUUUUCCCAUAAUUAGGGAUGUGAAUUAUGUCGUUAGCUCAUUAACUUGGCCUCCGCCUAAAUCCCAUCUAUAAUGAUUAACAUACAUACAAAUACACCAACAUGGGUGUUGGAAUAGAGAAGAUUUUUUUACCAUGACACAACGAAUAGGGUUUGUAAAGAAGAACGGAUACAUCUUCAAGAGGAUAUUUAGGUUAUGAACAAACGAAAUUCAUCUAUUUCAUAAGAAUUUCUAACGAUUAAUUAGUAACAUGGGAUCGUGGGUUUUCCUAAGUACUCCCUCCUUUCUAUUUUAUUCGUUAUAAAUUUUUUAACUUGAUUUUUCAUUUUACUUGUCACUUUUCAUUAAUCAACACAAGACAUUUUUCUUCCUUUUUUACCCUUUGUAUUAAUUAUUUUUUCUUUAAAUUAAAAUGUAAACAUCAUUUAAUAGGGAUACUAUGAUAAAGUAGCCAUGUUAUUAAUUAUUAUUCUUAAUCAAUGUGCAAUGUCAAAUUAUGACAAGUAAAAUGAAAUGACGCAAGUAAUAUUUACAAUUAAAUACAACAAUAUUUGAAUUAUACUCCACAUGAUUAUCAAUCUACUUUAUUAAUUAUUAGAUCACAUCGUUGAGUGAAUAAUGACCAAUAACAAUAAUAAUAGUAAUAAUAUUAACCGUUUUUAUUACUACAACUACAUGAAAAAGAUCAAGUUGAAGGAGAAAAAUCUAGAAUUAUUUUUUUCCCUUUUUAGCAGAAUUAUUGUGUAUGUACUCUACUUUGGUACAUGUGUAGUAAACUAGUAUCAUUAUUCCGAUUAAUUGUGUGGGGUAUAUGUUAUUUUUUAUUAAUACAAAUAUUUAAUAAUUUCAUCGUAACUUAAACAGAUCAGCCAAAUUAUAUAGCAACAUUCUUGCCUCUGGUGGCAUUUAAACUUGAGAUUUUCAUAAUUCCCAAUUCAUUUUAUCAAUCAUCAGCUAGGUCACACCUUUGAUUUCAUUACUGAAUACCAUUUUCAUUGGCAUUAUUACUGGGUCUUAGGGAAUACUAUUUUCAUUGGUAUUGUUAAUAACACUUAGAGAACGACCAAUUUGAAGGAGAAAAAAGAUGUAAAAAUUACAUAUAUAUAACGACAUGUUUACUGAAAAUUACUAAAAGUCCCAACUUUUUUAAAAAUCUCGCAAAAUCCCAGCAUGUGGUCAUUGAUGAUACAUGUUAAUUAAUUUAGAUACAUAUAAGGGAUACAUGUUUGAAGUAAACUAACUGACACUUUUUAAGGGAUGUAACGGAUAAAUUAGCAUUAAAAGUGCAAUUAAUCUAACUAAUUAUGGUUAAAAUAAAAUUAAAUCUCAUGAUUUAUGGCAAUUAUCUUUGUUAUUCCAUCAUUCUAAUCAAAAACAACAUUCAUAAUCUGUUUGAAAAUACCUAAAAAAAUUUACGGCUUCUUCAAAAGUUUCAGACACCCAUUUUUUUCUGAUUUAUUAAUUUUGUUUGGUUAUUUGAAAUGAAUAUUUCAGUUUUGUUACAUCAUUUUGGUGUUUGGGCUAACAAAAUCAAUUAUGUGAGCUAAGAGUGAUGAAAUUGUGAUCAGUGAACAUGUUACUUAUGAAAAACUAAUUUCGACAAUUACCGGAGAAUUGGAAAUCGAUGAAAUCAGGAAAAAAAUUGAGGCUCGUUAUAUUGUUGAAGAAAAUGCGUGUCCGUUGUUGAUUCGUAACGAAAUGAGUGUGAAGCUCUAUAUCGAGAUUAAGAAAACUGAGCAUGAUUUUGGGACGUAUCCACUCAUCAUCACUACAUUAGAUAAGUUUGCUAGUGAAAUGUUAUUUGAUGGGAAUGUUGGUGCCGUAAUGUGUUUGGAGAGUCCAUCAGAAAGAGUUCAAAAUUAAUUAGUUACAAAUCUAAUUCUACUUCUCCUUUGCCUUUGUUAGAUAGGAAGGGGAACAAGAUCAUUACUGAUUGCAAACAUAGUGAUGUUAAGGUUGAGCAAAUUUACAAGGACAAGGGUACUCUGAUUUCUGUUAUGACAAGGUUUGCAAUUGAGCAUUCCUUCAAUUUCUAUGCUAAGAGAUCGGACAGGAAAAUGUAUAUUAUGAUUUUCUAUGUAUCAGUUGUUGUUAUUAACCUGUACAGUAAUGUUAUGAUGUUAUGUUAAUUAAGCCGAGAUACAUUUUUAUGCUAAAAGAUACUUUUUGCUCAUCUUGUAUCUAAGUUUAUAAAUUGAUGUUUAAUUAUGUAUCUCAUUGUAUUUUAGUGUAAUGUAUAUCUAUAUACGAAGAAAUCAUAUAAGUAUUACAUUAGAUACAUGUUGUGCAAGUUUGUGAGGUAUAUGUAUCUAGUACUCUGUUGUUUGACAGUAACUCAAGGUAAAAAAAUUGAAGUUUUGUCUUAAUUGAUUCAGCUAUGUCCUAGAAGAAGGACUGGAUUGUGCCACAAGAAGCUAUAGAUGAAGUUGUGUUACCACCUAAAUACAAGUGUUCACCUGCAAGGCCAACGAAAAACAAGCACAAGAAAUCAAAUAAAACUAUGACAUCAAGCAAUAAUUGUUGCGGGAGAUGUGGUUAUGAAGGUCACAACAGGUGCACUUGCAACUUCUUUCCAAAGGAGGAGUGAUAAUGUGGUUGACUGAUGAAUAAUGUCGAGUAGUUUCUCAGGAUGUUGUUGGGUUUUAUAAUACAAAUUCUUGUUUUUUAUAAAAUUUUAAGAAAGACAUUUAUCAAAAUAAAUAGCAUUUUUGUUCCUUUGAUAAUUAGUUAUUUAUUUUUGCAUGAUGUAUUUUGUCGUGACACAUCAAUUAAACAUUAAGAUAUAUUGAAAUGACAGUGUUAUUAAAUAAUCUAUUCGUAGUUCUGCCAUAGUAAAUGGUAGAAAAUAGAUAUAUUUUUAUAGGAUGUAUCUCCCUUAAAUUUAUAGAUAUAAAUUUACAAAAUAUGUAUCGAUUAUAAAAUAUAAUUUGUCAAUAUUAUUAAGAUAUAGUAAUAUAAGUUCUGCUUUAAUUUGUUAUUCAGGUUAGUAUCAUACAUGUAAUCCUACUAACAAAAAGGUAUUAUAGAUACAUAAAAAUGUAUUAAUUUAUUAGUUACUAUGAUUAUAUAGUAAAACAUAUUUCCUUAUAAUAGAUACAUAUAAUACGGUAAGAUGUAUCUCGUAUUAAUUAAUAGAUAUAAGUUUAAAUAAUUUGUAUCACCUGUAAAAUAUAAUGGGUUAAUAGUUUUAAGAGUUUAGUUCUAUUAAGUUCUGUUAUAAUUUGUUAUGCACGUUAGAGACAACAUGGAUUAAUACCCAUAUAUUGUAAUAUAUCUUUCUUUAAUUUAGAUACAUAAAAUUGUAAAAUACUGGAAAAUAUGUAUCAAACAUAAUGUCUGUAAAUAGUGUAACCAAAAACAUAUAACGAAAACACAAAUAUAUCUUUACAUGCUUUAGCAUUUCGUUAGAAUGUUAAUGCAAAUAGAAGUAAUUAAUCAUUAAAGAAACUUAAUAUAUGUUUAUCUAAACACUACUAACAUCAUCAAAAUAUCAACAAAGUUUAUAUCAUCAACAACAUUUUUAAUAGGCAACUAGUCAACAAAUAAACAACUACUGAAUACUCAAAACAUGGUCUGUUUCUUUUGGUGUAAACUUGAUCCUUGGCCUUGGUAGAUCGUCAUUCUCACUAAAGUAUUCAUUCUCCGCUUUUUUAGAUCCGUACUUGCACAAAAGACUAGCAUAUCUCAGACGAUGGUAGUGAGCAUCAAUUUUCGAAGAUGGAAUGUCUAAUCCCUCACUCAGAUACUCGGCAUAUAGUACACUUAGAAAAAGCAAUCUGCGGUAGUGUAUCUCUUGAUUAAAAAAUUAUUGUUCUUGUACUUCUUCCUCAAGUAGUACAUGAUGACAUCUAGAUGCUGUUCAAAUUGCAAUCAAAUGUAAUAUAUCAUACAUCAGCCAACUGUGAUGAUUAAAACUGAAAGGAAUACAAAUUAAAUGUUUAUGUAUCUAAUGUGAUUAAUGCAAGUGAUAGAAAAUUGCUUCAGAUAAUGAAUAAGAUACAUAUUAAUAUAGAUAGAUAUAUGUUUUGUUAUUAUGUAUCUAAUACAAAAUAAAUUAAGGGAGCACUAAAUCAUGCACAACCAUUCUGCUCCAAGACUAAACUAGCACUGAUCAACAUUAAUAUCAAUUAUCUUACAAGAUGAAUCAUCCUAUAAUUCUUCAAGGAAAAAAUUGUACAUAUCCCUUUACAAGCUAUAAAUUACUGAACCUCUAUCUCCUUCAACAUCUACUAACAACAUCAUGGUGUUAGUUUAUGAUUUAUAGGUGAUUGGUUGAAGGAUAUAAAGCUCUAUUAAUUUAUAGUUUUACUAAAAUAAAGAAAUCACAUCUUGAGGUGACCUUCUCGGACAAUAUGGCGCCAUCGCUCAAUUUUCAAUUUGAUUACUUAAGAGCAGCCUGAGUUUUUCUGGAGGCUUUGCAAUCUUUGAGCCUAAGCAUGAGAUCUCUUUAAAAUAUUUGUCUUUUCUUUAUGUAUAGCUUAACAUGAUCUCAUCACUCCCUGUGAUUUUGAAAUUUGAAUUAUUAUAGAAUAACAUGUCUAAAAUAAUCAAAUUUUAAAAUAACAAAGCGAUGAGUGAUGACACAUCAAGCUAUCCACAAAGUCACAAAAAAAAAUUAGGCUGCUCUAAAAUUACAGUAUCACGUCAAGCUACACACGAAGAUAAUACAUCUAAAAAGCUCAGGUUGCUCUAAAAUAGCAAAUUUCAUAAUCAAUGGGACUACAGUAUCACGUCAAGCUCCAAUGGCACAACGGCAUUCAAAACGAUCACGUCAAGAUAUAAACAAAGACAAGACAUGCUUUAGGAAAACCUCAGGCUCAUCUAAAACAACACAUUCAUAAUCAAUGAGACUACAAUUGAGUCAAGCUCCAAUGACACCAUAAUAUUUCAAACAAUCACAUUAAGCUAUACACAAACACAAUACAUGAAACCUCAUGCUGCUCUAAAUUAACCAAAUUUUAAAAUAACGUAGAGAGAUAUCAAUCAACCUAAUCUAUCCAAGAAAUAAUAUAGGUAACCAAAAAAAACAAACUCAGACCACUCUACAGUAUACCAGCAGAUCAUGGAACAUAAAAAAUAUAUAAAUGAUAAAAUUAAUUGAGAUGCAACAAAUCUACAUUAAGACAUUACAAUUUAUACAAAAACUCUAAGAACGUUAUACAUUAGAUACAAGAUAACACAAAUAUAUCUUUAAGCUUAAAAAUAUCUAUCUUAGAAAAAAAUGUGUAUCUUGUGUAAUACGACUUUCAAUAACAUUUAAACAACACUACAUAUAUUUCAAAGCAUUAACACUAAGUCACAGAUACAAAUUAACACAAAAUGUAUCUUAGAAAGAAAAUCAUGUAUCUUAGAAGAAAAAAUAUGUAUCUCUUUUCAUAAUACUUUCAUAAAAAUUUAAACAACACUAGCUACAAAUCAAAGCAUUAACAAUAACUCACAGAUACAAGUCAACGUAACAUAUAUCUAUGUACUUAUGAACUUGUAUCUUUUGUUAUAUUAAAUUCAAUAAAACAUAAAAAACACAAGAUACAUAUAAAUUGGCAACAAAAAAACCAUAUAAGCAAUGAAUUUCUAAAUGUAUCAUACAAGUCAAAAUAUGUAUCUCGACCUAAUAUUCAACAGAUCUAAAUAUGCAAUUACCUUGGGAAGCUCAUAUCUGAAAAUUGCUUCGAUAAUUCUUCUUCUCUUGGCGGGAGCUUUACUUGCCGGACUGUUAGAUCCCCUUUUCUUAGAACCACUUUCAUUUUUUUUCCUUCGUAUCAUGUUUUUGCGGAAAUUUCUUCAUAGUUUGGGAAUCGUUUUUGUGCUUUAAUUUAUUUUCAUCAAAGCCAACAAAUUCGUAAUCAAAACUUUCGGGAAUAAAGUUUACAACUUCUUGAGAUUCUUUGAUACUUUCUAAUUGAGAAAACUCAAGACUAAAAGAAGGUGUCAAAUCAUUAUUCAUAAUGGUAAUUCAAACAAUGAAGCCUAAAAAAUGAACAAUCGAAUGAAUUGCUUAACCAAAAUACUGAAAUUUCACCAUGAAAAAGAAUGGGCAAAAUAUUUUUUUGAAAAAAAAAAAAAGUAAAAAGGAUUAGAAGAAAUAGAACCUAAUUUUAGGAAGGGAAAUUAACUUACUUCAAAGUUUUGAAUUAGAUGGAGAAAAUUGAUAGAAACCGCACCAGAAAUUGCGGCGUAUAGAGAGGAGAAGAAGUGAGUUAAUUUUGGUAAAGGAUCGGCUCCUAAUUGUAGGUUUUAACUUGUAUCUCAACUUUACUAAAAAAUAUGAAUGUUGGGAUUUAGGUAAUUUUUUAGAAGUGGGGGAUUUUAAAAGUUUAGAAACUUAUGUUGUUUAUUUAGGUAAUUUUUCCAAAAAAGAUACUAUUUAAUUGCACGCGUCGUAUUUGAUCUUUUGUUUUUAUUUUUUUAAAUAAGUUUGUUUUUAAUUUUUAUUUUUAUGAACUAAAUUUAUGUCUAAUAUGAACAUUAGUAAUACAAAAAUAUGUGUAUACCACUUUAAGCAUUUAGUUACUGGAGAAAAUUGAAGAAUAGGUGUUUUUUAAGUCUUGAAUGAAGGAUUAGUGACAUUGACCAACAGAUAGGGUCAAACAUUAUUAGGAAACUUGAUCAAGUUAAUUAUGGACUUGAUUAAUAUUUUCAAAACUUUCUAAUCUUUUAAAAAUACAAAUCAACCCAACCCACACCCUCUUCAAUCCAAAUCAACUACUCUCUCCUCUCUCUCGAUAGCUUCUCUCAACUCUCUCCCAACCAAUAGUUCUGUAAAAUUUCUCUCUUCAACCCCCAAUGACAAAUAGUUGGGCUUCGAGUUUCUCUCUUCAAUUCAAUCAACCUGUCUCUUAUUCCUCUCUCGAUAGCUUCUCUUAACUCUCUUCUAACCAACUGUUUUGCAAAUUUUUUAUUUCAAUCCUCGACAACUUCAAUAUACGACAACAAAUAGUUAGGAUUCCAGUUCCUUUUCUACUUCAAUCAAUGUGACAGCCUUGCUCUCCAGCCACAACAACUUCGAAUUCUUCAUCGGUUCUUUUUUUCUUUCACAGGUAAAAAUUUAUGGCCUUUUUUAGUUUUAAAGAAAACGAGGAACUUGUGUCAACUUAUCUUAUAGUAUUGGUUAACAAUUUCAAUAUUUAUUGCACUAAUUUAAAACGCGGUCUGAAUAAAACCCUAAUUUCUGGUAUUUCUUCUCUUCUCUUCUCUUUUCAAAGUGAAUUAUGAUAUUUUAUUAUUUAUUGCAUUUUUUUAAAGUUUGAUUUUUAUUAUUUGUGUUUAUAAAAACAAAAGGACAAUUUGGUUUGAUUUGUUCUGUUCUUGUUCUUGGUAAAAAUGGUGAAAUUAUUAUUUUUUAUUUAACAAAAUCAUGCUACAGUUUCCUCCGACAGAUUACCCAUCUGGUGCAACAUAUUAACCAUAUGAUAUAACAGAUUCAUCAUAUGAUGCAAUAGAUCAACCAUCUGAUGUUCCAGGGGAACCAUCAGAUUAUCAUUCUGAUGCAACAGAUUAAUAAUCUAAUGUAACAACUUUACCAUAUGUUGCAACAGAUUAAGCUUCGAAUAAAAAAUCUGAUGCAACUAAUUAACCAUUUGGUGCAAUGGUAGAACCAUUAGAUUAAUAAUCUAAUACAACAGAUGAACCUCCUAUUGGAUAAAAUCCUAUCAACUCUUCGUACAGGAAAAGUCCAAGACUUGAUUUUUCCAACUGAUCAUUCAUCUACCAGGAUAGACGAUCCUAUGUAGGAAAAAAUCUAAAUAAUAUUAACCGUUGAUAACUGUUCCAACAGAUCACUCAUGUGUUGCAACAGAUGUGUGACCUGUUGCAGAGACCAUUCAUCUUUCUCAACAGAUGAGUGAUAUGUUUUGUAUUGUCGUAAUAGAUUACUCAGCCGUUGCUACGGAUUAUUUAACUAUUCCAACAGAUCACUUAUAUGUUGCAACAGAUGAUGUCACAAUAGUUGUGUGAUCUAUUGAGCAGACCAUUCAUCUAUCUUAAAAGAUGAGUGGUAUAUUUUGUAUUGUUGCAACAAAUUACUCAUCCACUGCAAUAGUUUAGUUAUAUGCUGCAACGGAUAUACUACCUGGUCCAACAGAUCGAUGAUCUGUUGUUACUGUUAUUUUACUAUUUUGCUUGUUUGAUUUACUGUUAUCCCUUUUUAAUGAUGCAUUAAUCAACAAUAAUCUAUUAUUUUAUGUUUCUACUAAUUUUAGAUGAUAUGGUUCCCAAAAGAACAGAAACUAAAUCAAGUCCAAGUAAAGGAACAAGUGAAGCAGCUAGGCUACAUCCACCACUCUAUGAGCUUGCUUUACAAGUAUUAUCUCAAUCGAGAGCAGAAUAUGAUGAACACGGGAAGGAGGAAUAUGUCAAAAAAGAUGAUACAGAUGCUAAUAGACCUUCCACCGAAGAGCUGGUCAAAGCCUUUAGCAUUGAUCGUUAUCCUAUGAGAAUGCGGUGCAAUGGUGCCGCAGAUUUAAUGGGUGAUUUCGCGGUUAAGUUAGCCAUGGGAAAAUCUUUCAACACCUUCAGAAAAAUACUUCGAGAAUAAAAAUUGGAUGCUUAUUUCAGAGACAACUACUUUGAGAAAUAUCUUGAUUUAUCGAAGGACAACAAUGCUCGUUUCCAAAUGAAAAUGCUAUAUGAACUUCUCAAGCGUAGGUUUAUGUAUGAAAACAAAAAUAAGAUGGAUGAGGUGUGGAUAAAUUACUGUGGCAUGCCUGUUUAUUUUGGUUGGAAGGAGUUUGUCAUAGUUUUUGGGCUAAAAUGUUAUCCUCCUUCUCAAGUUAUACCUAUUUUAACCCAAAAAAAACACCCCGCACACCCAAAAAAGGCAAAUAUAAGUUGUGUGAUUGUGAUGACCUGGUGUCCAUUGUUGGUCCAAGCUUCAAAUACAAAAAUUUGAUAGAAGCGUUGAAAGAUAAAGAACUUUCAAAGAAGCACAAGUAGUCAUUGUGCUUGGUUUGGUUUGUACAUAAUAUUCUUUGGGCGAGAGACAUUAACAACAACAUAAAACUCGAUUUAAUAAAGCUCUCCGAGGAUCUUGAGGUUUUUAACAUCUAUCCAUGGGGGUAUGAAAGCUUUAAAAUAACUGUCAAAUAUUUGUUAACUCCGUUAGCGCCAAAGACAGUCAACUUAUAUGGCUUCCAAUAGGCUUUCAUGGUAAAUGUUUCUUUCUUCUAUUAUGAUAUCAUUCAUUUUUAUCGCUCAAUAAUGGUUUUGAUUUAUUGGCAUUAUUUUAUAGGAUUGGGCGUUUGAAGUCAUUCCUUAUUUGAGACAACAAGUGAACUUAAGAAGUUUCCUGUCCAAGAAUCUUGAGAUGGUUGUCGGCCAAAACUCAUAAAAAUACAAAAUUUAUUGAUCUUUUCAACCCCCCGAAGGAUGCAGUAAGUAUAAUUAUAAUUAAUUUUUUCUUUUAAUUAAUGUUUUUUUUUGAAUGAUCUAAUCAUCAUUCUAAUAUAUGUAAUGAUUUAUGUUAGAAUGUGAAUUCGUCGCUAGUUCUGACCAAUCGAGAGUUGAAAAAGCUAUUUUUUCUUACUUUACGGUCUGUGCAAACUUUAUUAGAUCCUAAAGUAAUCGACAGAAUAAAAAUGGAAUUAUUUAGAGUAACAACCAUUACAAGAAAAAUACUUUUAGAAGGUGGGCUUGUUGUUGUUGAUGGAGCUGUUGGUGGUGGUAGUGGUGCUGCUGUUGGUGCUAAUGAUGCUCCUCUUACAGUAUUUAAAGCAAAUCUAUUAUGAAUAUGAUCAUACUGGUUCUACAGAUUUUGCCUCUCCCAGUGAAUGUUCUGCAUACAAAUGUUAAGACUGCAGGGCGAAAUAUGAUGUAGUGAUUAAUGCUAUUAAUGCAUUAACUUUUUCUGUAAAGGAAUUGACAUCUAAGAGGGGUCUCAUUUCAUCAAAGAGGAUUUUAUUUCCAUCCGCUCCAUUAGAGAUUAGGGCUAAGAGGAGAAGGAGAUUGAUUUCCAGGGCAUUAUGAGGCAUCCAAAAAAAUGAAAUUGCAAUUCCUCUAUCUGCGUGUUGCACUGAGCAACGUACAAUGUCUAAAGGAGAUCAACACGAGCUAAAGAAGGUGAAUAUAUUAUAUGUCUUCCAACUGACAAAACAAACAGACACAUAUCUGUUUCAAUAGAUGACACAUCUGCUGAAAAUUAUCAAACAGAUAUAUACAUCUGUUGCAACAGUUGACUAACCUGUUGCACUAGAUACUUUAUCUGGUGCAACAUAUGUCUCGUCUAUUUUAGCAAAUCAAACAGCUCUUCGUGCAGCUUUUAUUUGUACCAACAGAUAACCUAUCUGCUGCAACAGAUGAUUUAUAUAUUGCAACGGAUCGUUCAUCCAUUGGUAAUUAUCACACAGGGUCUUCCUCAUGUAGAAAUUUCUCCCAACAGUUGAUUCAUUAUUGCAACAGAAAUAUAAUAUAUUUGGGACAAUUUAAAAUGGAAGGAAGACCUGUUUGAUUUACUAGAAGAGAUGAGUUAUCCUUUUUCGUUUUAUUGUAUCUCUGUGAUUAGCAUUGACCAAUUCUGGCUUUCCAGGUGGAUGUAGAAGAAGCUAUUGCUGAAUAGCAUUGACAAUAUGCUACUCUUUUUAUGGAAAUACGGAGAAUAGAAAGAGCAGAAACUGUACGCAAGCGACAAUGAAGAUCCACGACGAGCAAAGCCGAAUUCCAUAGCACCAGAUGAAGAACAACUUGUCCAUACUGAGUAGAUCUUUAUAGCUUGAUCCUGUCAAAGAAAUCAUUGGCAGUAUACUUAAAUUGUUGUUGAUGUAUUUGUUGAGAUCUGUACCCAUAACAAUUUUUUUACAUUUUAUUUAUUCGUUGACUUGUUUCAACUAAUUUAUAAAGGCUUCAAUUUAUUUUAUUUUAUCUACAAAUUUUAUUUAUUCCUUAGAUUUGAACUUAUUAAUUGAAAUGGAAUACUAGAUUCAAAUAUUGCAACAGAUAAUAUAUCUAUUGCAACAGAUGACACAUUUAUUGAAAAAUUUGAACAGAUUUAGACAUAUGUUGCAACAGGUAGGUGAUCUAUUGGAAUUUAUCAAAUAGGUCUUCCCAUUGUUGCAACAGAUUGACUUUAGAUAAAAACUUCAAGAUAAUGCAAUAGAUGACACAUCUAUUGAAAAAAAAAAAGAACAAAUUUAGACAUAUGUUGCAACAGAUGGACUUUAUCUGUUACAACAGACGACACAUCUAUUAGAAUAAUCGAACAGAUUUAUACAUAUGUUGCAACAGGUAGGUUAUCUAUUGGAAUUUAUCAAACAUGUCUUCCCACAGUUGCAACUAAUGGACUUUAGAUAAAAACAUCGAGAUAAUGCAACAGAUGACCAACCUAUUACAAUAGAUAAGCUAUAUGUCAGAACAGGUAGGAUAACUGUUACAACAGAUGGAGAAUCUGUUGCAUUAUAAAAAUUCAACUUUUGUUGGACAUAAAAAAUUUCCAUUACGUUUAAAAAGGUUAAAGUGAAUUGAAAUAAAAAAGGCGCAACCCAUUGAUGGUGUUCAGUUAAAACAUCUAAAAUAAAAUAGGCAUCAAGUAGACAUGUUCAUUUUAAAGACGUAAAAUAAAAUAGGCAUCAAAUAUGUUAGUGUCAGUCCUAGCACAUUUCGCUGACUUGCCGUCACUUGGCCCCCAACGGUCAUUUCCCCCCUUCCCAUUGUCUUAUAUAUUCAUCUUCCUCCUAAAAUUUAACCCUAAAUUUUCAAAUCUUCUUCUUCAUCGUCAUCUUCUUUUAUUUAUCCAAAUUCUUCAAAUUAUUACUUUCAUUUUUUCCAACUAACCUUGACAAUAUCGAGCGCAUCUUCCACUAUUUUUUGUGAUAAAGAUUUUGGAUAUUGUAAGUGCGGUCAUGAAGCUCUAUUAAAAACUUAUUGGACUCAACAAAAUCCGGGUCGUAGGUUUUUUACUUGUAAGAUUUUAAAGGUAAUAUUUUUUUAUUUAAUUAAUUGAUUAAUUAAUGACUUGUAAUUAUUUUGUAAUUGUGUUCUCUUUUUUAUAGAAAUUGGAUGGAUGCGAUUACUUUGAUUGGUAUGGAGAACGACACCCUUCACAAGCAAAUCAUGUAAUUUGGGUUUUGUUAAACAAAGUCAAGACUUCUGAAGAGAAACAAAAUCGAGUAAGAAGAUACUACAUUGUUGCCAUUAUUGCUACUGGUUUGGUGUUGUUGGACACAUGGAUAUUGAAACCUAAUUGCUGAAAUUUUCAUGAUGGUGUGUGUAUUUGCUACUGGUUUGUUGUCAACGAGAACAUGGUUAUUCAAGCGUAACUGUUGGAAAAUAUCAAAAAGAUUUAGGCAUAUGUUGUAAAAUUUAGGUCAUCUGUGAAAAUUAUCAAACAGGUCUUCACAUUGUUGCAACAGAUUAGACUUAGAUUGUUAGAUUAUUCAUAGAAAUUAUCAAACAUGUCUUCCCACUGUUGCAACAGAUUAGACUUAGAUUAUUAGAUUAUUCAAACAGGUCUUCCCACUGUUGCAACAGAUUGACAAUCUAAUCUAUUGCAUUAUAAAAAACUUAACUUUCAUCAGAAAAAAAAUUAUUACCACUACAUGUACAUGUAAUAAAGUGAAGGGUGACUUGAAAUUAAAAUUUUUAUUUCACAAGCUCUUCUAUAUACACAGGUUUCAAGUGUCCCGUUAGUACCCCACAAGCCCAGACCUCUUACAGGUUUGCCACAGUGUUGUCGCAUAGAAAAGUCAUUGGCUCAGCUAUUUCUAUACCGGUCAGCAAAUAUUCGAUGUGUGCAAGAGCGUGCGAGCCGCUCGCUUUAGUGGCAUCAUCUUUUGGAAGAUCAUUCCCCUGUUUUGACCUUCAAAAUUCCAUUUUUUCUUCAUCAACACUUCCUUUGGCAAAUAAUUCAUCAGUUUACUCUCCCUCAACAAGAUGGGUAACAGCACCAUCAGUGGCUUCACGAGGGGAAAAAGAUUGAAAUCGUCGACGAGAGGUACGUUGGAGUCAUAAACAUUGAUUUUUCCUUCCUCGAGUAGUAUCUCCACAGCCUGAUAAUGCAUGUCAUUCACGCUAAUGACUGUACGAAUCCUUUUUGCCUCAAUCCAGAUCUUGCCAUAUGGAUUUGUCCUGUCUCCUCUAACAUAUCUUAACAUUUCUUAUUCAUCCAAGACCAACGUAGGAACUAGGAAAACAAGUCCCACACCAAGGUUGACGCCUCUCUAUUGAGUUGAUUGUACCUAUCCUUGAGCUUCUUGCAGAAGUUGAGGUCCAUUAUCCUAUCGGCAGUGUCAUAAGCUUCCUGGUACGUUAACUGCCUUUUCCUCAUGAGGUAGAGAAUUAUGUCAACAUGCUGUGAGAUAAGAAGUUAAUUUUUAAAGAAGUCAAUUUUUAAAUAGGUUGGUAAUUGUAAAGAUGCAACGGAUGGUCCAUCUGUUGCAUAGGGUUCUCUGAAUCAAUAAUCCAACGCAACUUAUGCAACGGAUGGAUAAUAAGUUGCAACAGAACCACAACCAGUUGGACCAGUAUACCUAGCUAUUGUAACAGAUGUGAAAUCUGUUGUGUAGUUUCUUCUUCAUAGGGUAGAUUAGAAGGGCUAGGUUAGUAAAAGUAAACUUGCCAUGUCCUCGUACGGCAUAUGCAUAUCAGUCAUAGUCUGGAAAUUUUUUAGGGAAAAAGGAGGUCUUGGGUAAUCUGGUGUGCCUGGCUUGGCAUUCAUGGCCUGUCGUAGAUCCCUCUUCUCUUCGGCGCCAAGUUUCGCGUAUAUGUCCACCUUCUUGACUGGCACUUGAACUUCAACAACUUUUGGAGUGGGAGGAAUUGCAAAUUUUUUUAUUUCUGAGCGGAGAGUACGUCUCUAAUUGCUCUUUUCCUUCUCCUAACCAACGCUGUAGGAGUGUGUGGCUCCCUCACCUUCUUGGAUGGUGUGACACACCUCUUGGAUUUGAAUUCCUUGAUAGCUUUAGAGAUAGCCUCUACUUUUUCAAAGAGUUUAUCCUGUCUGUCCUUACACUCAUCACAUUUACAACGAGAACAUGAGGGUGAAGAGGGGUGAGAGGGACCUAUGUAAGGGCAAAAAUGGGUGUUUUCAAACAUAUUUAUUCUUUGGUAGAAGCAUCAGCAUGCCUGUCACUAACACCAACAACUCCACCAUAAGAAGCACCUGGAUCUACCUUAGGAAAAGGUUGGUCAUAAAGUGCCUCAACAUUAGGCUGACCUUGCCUAACUACUCUUCUUAUGGCUGUUGCUCCAGCCAAUUCCUUCUGUAUUAACUCCACCAUUGGGUCUGUAAUAGUAUCAACAUAACCAAGAGUAAUAUAAGAAGUCAUCACCAACUUCUCCUUAGUAGGCACGAUCCAUGGAUGUACAACCUAUAAAAAGAAAAAAUAAAAGACAAAUGCAUUUAAAUUAUAUAAUAUAAUAAUUUUCAUGGUUGGGCUACAUUUUUUAAAAAAAAGACCCAUCUGUUGCAUUGUUUGCAGUAUAUGGUUAAAAUUUGUUUGAGUCUAGUUUAGAGAAAUAGAGCAACACAUAGAUAAUCUGAUGCAAAAUAUCAAUCAUCUGUUGCAAUAGUUGCACAAGACGGGUAAUCUGUUAUGCAACAAAUGAUCUGUAUGUCACAAUAGAUGAAUGAUAUGUUAUCAGAUUAAACAUCUGUUACACAAUUUGCAGUAGAUGGUUAAUAUUUUAAGAGUCGGUUUCAGAGAAUCAAAGCCACAGAUGGGUAAUCUGAUAUAAGAUAUACCCCGUUGCAAUAGAUGUCCCAUCUGGUGUAUCAGAUAUAACAUCUCAUGCAUCAGAUAUAACAUCUAUUCAAUAACUUUCUUAUCUUUGAGUAGAAUUAUUUUACUUGAAGAAGACGUACUGCAUCAUCCGUAGGGUUAAAUAGAUCCGCCUCCUUAAUAUUGAUGUUGCUCUUUGCUGCCAACCACCUAAACAUCCUUGGAUGAUAAACCUCAUUAGGGUAAUCCAUUAACUACUUUCGAAGGGAAGGAAUAGCUUCAAAUGUCCAAGCCUAAAAAGUGUAAAUAGGAAGCAAGCAAAAAAAAAUCAUAAUAACUAUUUUCAAUAUAAAUUAAUGGAUGAGUAAAAUUAGUGAUUAAUUUUACCAUGAAAGCCCAAGGAAAGCUGUAUAAUGUGGUCCUCUUUCUCUUUCUGACUCUCCAAUUCCUCCUCUUUCUCACUUUUAUUUUCUUCAUCACCAUCUACGGACCCUUGUCCCACCUCCCUUAACUUUGUUUUCACAUCUCUCCUCAGCUUCACUUUUCCCUGACUGAGAUUGUUCAGGAAGCUCCUCUGAAUCCUUCUGUACUGUAGCCUUUUUUUUUUAGUAGUCAGACGUUGAUUCACUUUCACUUUAUUUUCUUUUGGGAGACAUAUUUUACCUACAGACAAAGAAAAACAAAAAUUACAUUACAGUUGAUGUAUGAAUAGAUUUUAAAAAAUACAUUACAAACACCACGAAUAAAGACACACCAGCAGCCACUACAACAAACACCACCAACCAAUGCCACCACCGGUGCCACCACGACGACCACAAGCACCACCAUCACCACCACCACCACCAACACCAUCCAACUAUACCAGGACAGUCAACGGAAAACUCCAAUGGAAACUAGGGAUUUCUCAAGUUUUUCCUACGAUUUUACCAUCAAAACUCAAAAUUGUAAACCCAUUCUCGAAGGUAAUACAACUAAAAGUUUUAUUUUUCAUCAUUAACUUAAAAUCCCUUAUUUUUUAGAAAAAAUAAAAAACAAAUAUAGAGCUCUUCUCAAACUCUAUUGCCUAUAAAGACAAAGAAAACGACUGAUACAAGCAAGAAUGAUAUCGAAAAUAACACCUAUGUGGUUGGAAAUGAAAACAAAAGCGAUCUGUUGUGGAGGGUUGAGAAAAUUUAUUGAGUAGUUAUUGUCUGUACUGUAUUGCUGAGUGAGAAUGAGAGAGAAAGAGCCAGACCUUGAGAUUUGAAAUGAUGAAACAUUUUGUAUGGGUUGAUUUGUAUUUUGGAAAAGAAUGACAAGUAGUUUUGAAAAUGUUAAUUUUAUCCUAAAUGAUCUUAAUUAUUUUUAAAAUCAUAAAAUAUAUGCGUAAUUUUUAAAAUCAUAUCAAAACAAUUGAAGUUGUAGUUGACUGAGUACUCUAGGAGAUGACCCUGUGAAAACUCACCCCUGGUCCUAGAUUAAUCAAUUUAGAAGUCUAAUAUAUGAACUCAAUUAAAAUUAUAAAAAACAAAUAUUCAACAUGUUGCGUCAGAUUUCUCAUCUGUUGUAAAUUAUCAAUCAGAUUAGGUAACAACAUAUUAUGAAUCUGAUGUAAAUUAUCAAACAGAUUAAGUCAUCUAUUGCGACAGAUUACCCAUCUGUUGUAAAUUAUCAAAUGGAUUGUCAUACGUCAUAACAAAUUACCCAUAUGUUAUAAAUUAUCAAAGAGGCGCUGCCAUCUAUUGUGGCUGACCCUAUGAGAACUCACCCCUAGUCCUAGAUUAUUCAAUCAAGGUAUUAGUACCCUAGUCCUAGAUUAAUCAAUUAAGGUAUUAGUCUAACAUAUGAGGUAGUAAGAAUCAGUUCGGCUCAGAGUGAUCGAUUGCCGACUUCGAUCGGGAGGAACACAAUAUCAUUUCAUCAUGUAAUUGGCAAAACACUCAAUUAAAGUUUUAGUUGACCCUCUGAGAACUCACAAUCAAUUAAGGUAUUAGUCUAACAUAUGAACUCAAAUGAAUUAUAUAUAAAUAAAUGCUCAACCUAUUGCAACACAUGUCUUUUCUGUUGGAUCAAAUCAAACAGAUUAUAUAAUCUGUUGCAACAUAUUACAUAUUAUUGUAAAUUAUCAAAUAGAUUAAGUCAUCUGUUGUAAUAGAUUACCCAUUUAUUGUAAAUUAUCAAAUGAAUUGAGUCAUAUAUUGCAAUAUAUUACCCAUCUGUUGUAAAUUAUCAAAUAGGCGUUGUCAUCUAUUGUAGUUGACAUUAUGAGAACUCACCCCUAGUCCUAUAUUAAUCAAUUUAGGUAUUAUUUGGACAUAUGAGGUAGUAAGAAUUGGUUUGGCUCAGAGUGAUCGAUCGACGACUCUUGUCGGGAGGAACACAGUCCCGUCUCAUUAUGCAUUUGCCAAAAGACUCAAUUAAAGUUGUAGUUAAACCUAUAAUAACUCACCCCUAGUCCCAGAUUAUUCAAUUAAGGUAUUAGUUGAACAUACGAGGUAGUAAGAAUUAGUUCAUCUCAGAGUGAAGAAUCAUUUCAUUUCAGAGUGAUCGAUCGAUGACUCUUGUUGGGAGGAAUGCAGUACUGUCUCAUCAUACAAUUGCCAAAAAACUCAAUUGAAGUUUUAGUCGACUCGUUGUGCUCAUUCAUCCAUCCCUAAUUCCACCUAGAUCAAUGUAGGUACUAUUAUUAAUCUUAACAUUAAGUUAAUGAGAGCACAUUUCAACUCAGAGUGAUCGAUCGAUGACUCGGGUUGGGAUGAACACAAUACUAACACCAUGCACAUGCAAUGACUCAAUUGGAUUUGUAAUUGACCUUGUGAGCUCAUUCAUUCAUCCCUCUUUCCACCUAGAUUGAUAUAGGUAUUAUUAUUAAUCUUAACAUUAAGUUAAUGAGAAGCUCAUUCUUUCAUCCCUAGUUCAUCCAAAAUCAAUUGCAAUGAAAUCCGUUGAACAAAUAACUGAGCUGUUGGAGAAUUUCAAAAAGAUAACAGUAUCUAUUGCAACAGAUGACAUUUCUUAUUUAAUUAUCAGAUAGACAUUUGCAUCUGUUAUGACGGAUGACUGAGGUGUUGGAAAUUUUCAAACAAAUAUUGAUAUCUGUUGUAAAAGAUGACGUUUUUGAUUUAGUUAUCAAAUGACAUUUUCAUCUGUUGUCACAGAUGACUGAGCUGUUGGGAUUUGUCAAACAGAUAUUUAUAUCUGUUGUAACAAAUGACAUAUCUGUUUGAAAAUCUUUUUGUUUUCUUUUAAUUUUAAAGCAAGCUACUGUCCGAGUAGAUAAAGUAGUAGUACUACUAAAGGCGGUAAAAAAUGUUUCUUAGAUAACUUAAAAAUCUCAUUGAGUAGUCUUGUCCUGUCUUUUCAAUCUCACCCGUUUUCUUUCUCGUGCCCCUCAAAUUAUUAGUGAAUAUUAAUUAUUGAAUAUUGAAACCCCUACUAUUUCUUUCUUUUCAUAUUGACUUGGCACUCUCAUCAAGAAAAUAUUAAUUAGGGGUUUAUUUUACUACCAAAUUAUCCUUAUUAAUUAUGCUUUGUAAAUAUAAAUUUGAAUAAAUACACUUUGUUUAGUGAUUUAAUAUUAAGGGUAGUACAUCUAGAAAUUAGAAUUACCUCAUCUCUCUCCUCCUCUCCUUCAGCCCUAAAUCUCUCAUUUUUUUUCUUUCAAUCCUCUUUAGGGUUAUCACAACCUUUUUUUAUCUCCUCUGUCUCAAAAAUUUUCAUUCGGAUCUAAACUAAUCGAUAUCCAUAUCUUUUAUUCCUCGACUGAAAUUGCUGUUUUGACCCCAUUUUGACAUUGAAUGAUAUGAUUCACUAUUGCUCUUUCAUUCUCGUCUUCUUCUUGCAACUUUAUUUACAUCUUUUUUAUUUAUUUAAUUACCAUUUUCCCAUAUCAUAUUUAUUUAAAAAAUUUGAAGGAACUUUUAAUUGUUGAAUAAACAUACCGAGAAUUUUUAUUAUAAGAUACAAAAAAAGUCAUCUGUUGAGAGAAGUUUAAAAGUCUUGUUGGCAGUAUCAUUUUUUUUUAUGUAUUUUGUUUGUUUCUUCAUUGUUGAUGCUGUUAUUGACGUUGUUGGUGGGGCUGGCAUUAUUGGAACUUGUGGUGUGGUGCUGUUGGUGGGUUUGGCAUUAUUGAAACUUAUGGUGUGGUGUAGUUUAGACGGUGGGUGCUUCUUAGCUUAAAAAUAGUGGAGUCCGAACAAUCAAACAGGAGAAAGAGAAAAAAAAUAAAAAGUUUAAAGUGAAUAAGAAGAGAGGAGUUGGUUACCAAAAUUUAAAAAACAUGUGCUGAGUGGAAAUUGAACUCAAGACCAAAAGAAAUAAAUAGCCUUAAGCAUCCAUAAACAACAACUAGGCUAACCAAACAACUCUUACUAUGGGUGCUCACUGAUUAUAUUAUAUACAUUUUUUUCUUUAUUUCCACAUACAUAUAUAAAGUUCGAUACGAGUUCAGUCUGUGCUCGCGUACCCGGAGGACUCCACGUGGGUUUGUCCCUUGUUGUUGAUGGUGUUGGAAUAUAGGAUGUAUGUUUCUUUGUAGUUGAUGAUGUUGUUGGAAUAAAUGUUGUUGUUUUCUUUGUUGUUGAUGUUUUCUAUUUGUUGUUUGUAGUUUAUGUUGUUGUUGAUGUUGCAACAGACGAAGAAACUGAUCGAACAAAUCAAACCACCAGCAAGGCUGCUAUGUAUUCCAAUAGACUCUAUAUAUGUUGCAUCAGACUCUAUAUCUGACGCAACAGACUCUACAUCUGACGCAAACUAUUCGGGAUUUAUAUGUUGUGUGUGUUACUUAAAUAAAACUGGUGACUUUAUUAAUAUGUAAAUUAAAAAAAAAUGGGUCUAAAUACAAUAUUUUAUCUUUUUGUUGUAUUUCCGAAAGAAACAUAUUGGUAAUAUGUUGCAAAAUAUAUUCCACCUGUCAAAUAACUUACAACAUAUGGACAAUCUGUUGCAACACAUGUAUAUAUUAGUUUGCUUUUCCAUCAGCUGUGGAGUCUGUUGCAACUUGCUAAUCAUCUGUUUGUUCAAUUUCAUCGCGAACAAUAGAUUAAUCUAAACACUUCUUGGCCAAACUCAAUUUUUGCUCUUGGACUGCUUCUCUUUUUUUCUUUGCAUCCUUUAAGCUGGCCUCCGAAUUCAAUUUUGGCUCUCAAUCCAACAGAAAAAAUUUAGUUUGAUUGAAGAAUGCAAAGAAAAAAAAGAGAAUCAAUCCAAAAGCAAAAAUUAAAUUUGGUUAAGUGUUUAGAAAAAUCGAUUGCUCUCGAUGAAAUUGAAUAAACAGAUGACUAGGAAGUUACAACAGAUGCCACAGCUAAAGGAAAAGAAAAUUAAUAUAUCCAUUUGUUGCAACAGAUUGUCCAUAUGUUGUAAGUUAUCUGACAGGUGGAAUAUAUUUUGCAACAGAUUACCAAUCUUUAUCUUUCGAAAAUACAACAAAAAGAUAAAAUGUUGUAUUUAGAUCCAUUUUUAAAUUUUUUUCUAAUUUACUUAUUAAUAAAGUCACCAGUAUUAUUUAAGUAACACACACAACACAUAAAUCCCGGAUAGUUUCAACAAUAUUGCAUUAAAUCUCAGAUAGUUUGCUAAUUACAUUUUAUCCCAAAAUUUUGAAUUGUGAUACAUAUGUUAAGCAGUGAUACAUAUAGCAUAUGUAUCACUAGUAAAUAUGAAUCCGGGAUUUUAUGUAAUUUUUUAAAACAUUAAGGGAUAUUAUGUAAUAUGGUGUCUUAAAUAUGAAAUUUGUGUAAUUUUUCCUUUUAAGGGAUAUGAACAGUCGUGGCUCGUUGUUUGACUAAGUCCAGUUCCUUCCAAUUCUCAAUAGGUUCCUCCGGCCUCCUCACUCACUCUCACUCACUCGCGUUCAUUCUACUAUACUUACAAUACUAAUAUGUCAGAUCCAGAUUCGUACAAGAAGGUUUAUACCGAGUCCUUGCAGUAAUUUCAAAGGAAUUUUGAUGAACUCCAGAGGGAUUUGGCCGACUUCCGAGCAAGGCUGAGGAGAGCUCUGCUGCUGCCGGAUAAAAAUUGUCAGGUUGACAAUAAUAAGAGUAAUAAUAGUAAUAAUAAUGAUAAUUAGGUUAUGUUUUUUCUUUCUUUUAGCGUAUGUAUUUCCAUUUUUUAUAUCCGAUCUACCUAUAAGGGAUUCAAAAAAAUCCAUGUAUAUGUUUGGUUUGGUUUGAUUUGGUCGAUUUUGAAUUUUUAAUUCUUAUUCAAUAUUUAAUUAUCAUUCUAUUUAUUCCCUAUUCAAAACAUGCCGGCGGUUGGAGUUAGGGAUGUGGUCAUGAUGAGAAAUUCUCCUAAAAAUGGUUCGUUAAUAAAUAAUAAGGAACUAAAUGAUAUUAUAAUCAUAAAAGAGAGAUUAUUUGAUUUAAAAAAGUCACAACAUUGGAUUAAUUUAAUUAAGAUAUAUAUAUGAUGAUAUGAUUUUUAAGAAAAAAGUUAAUGAAUAGUCGUGACUGUGACUUUUGUCUAAACACAUUCAAUAAACAAACAAAAACAAAAAACGCUUCUGAUGCAUCAAAUUCCUCAUCUGUUGCGACUUAUGAAUCAGUUAGAAGAAAUAAAAAAAUCUCCUUAAACAGAUGGUCGAUUUAUAGCAACAGAUGGUAUAUCUGUUGAAACAGAUGGGUUAUCUGGUGCAACAGAUAUACAAUCUAUUGCCAUAACUAAAUUAAUAAAAAUGGUUAUUAAAGAAACGGAAAGAUUAAGUNNNNNNNNNNNNNNNNNNNNNNNNNNNNNNNNNNNNNNNNNNNNNNNNNNNNNNNNNNNNNNNNNNNNNNNNNNNNNNNNNNNNNNNNNNNNNNNNNNNNNNNNNNNNNNNNNNNNNNNNNNNNNNNNNNNNNNNNNNNNNNNNNNNNNNNNNNNNNNNNNNNNNNNNNNNNNNNNNNNNNNNNNNNNNNNNNNNNNNNNNNNNNNNNNNNNNNNNNNNNNNNNNNNNNNNNNNNNNNNNNNNNNNNNNNNNNNNNNNNNNNNNNNNNNNNNNNNNNNNNNNNNNNNNNNNNNNNNNNNNNNNNNNNNNNNNNNNNNNNNNNNNNNNNNNNNNNNNNNNNNNNNNNNNNNNNNNNNNNNNNNNNNNNNNNNNNNNNNNNNNNNNNNNNNNNNNNNNNNNNNNNNNNNNNNNNNNNNNNNNNNNNNNNNNNNNNNNNNNNNNNNNAAUAUAUAUAUAUAUAUAUAUAUAUAUAUAUAUAUAUAUUAUAUGUUGCAAUAGAUAUAUUAUCUCAUGCAACAGAUUAUCUAUUUAUUGCAACAGAUAAUAUAUCUGUUGUAAUAGAUGAUUUUUCUGAUGUAACAGAUAUAUAAUAUGUUGUCCAACUCAGUAUAAAUAAAAAACGAUUCCUGUAAAGAACUAAUUAUUUUAAUAAUAAUAAAUCUGAAAAGUCAUGACUUAUCACAAUAUUGUUUAAUUUAAUUCAGUCAUAACUUCUUACAGUGAUCAAGAAUGUCAUUAAUAAAUGGAGGUGAACAGUUGCGCCUUUAAAUCUGUUUUAUUAAUUUAUAUAAUUAAAAAGUCAGAAAAUUUGGAUGUCAUGAUGAUAAUUUUUUUUUAAAUAAGAUAUAUAGAUUAAAUGUUGCAACAGAUAUAUUAUCUGAUUCAACAGGUUAGCUAUUUGUUGCAGAUCAUGAUAUAUCUGUUGUAACAGAUAUAUUAUCUGUUGUCCAAAAUAGUGUAAAAAAAAAAUGGUUCCUGGAAAGAACUAAUUAUUAAUAAUAAUAAAGCUGAAAAGUCAUGACUUAUCAUAAUAUUGAUUAAUUUAAUUAAUUCAUAACUUUUUACAGUAAUCAAGAAUGUCAUUAAUAAAUGGAGGUGAACAGUUGCAAUUUUUUGCCUAACUCAUCCUAGUUCAAUCCUCUAUAAAUAGGUCCCUCCUUACUCAAUCGUUCAUUCUGCUACACAUUAUUUAUUCUUCACUCUUGUUACACCUUCAACUACUUUCUCUUGAAGGACUUGAUAGCUUUUUCCUGUCUCUGGUAAGUUGUUUUCUUGAUUUUUGUGUAAAUAUACGUUGUAUUACAUUACAUUACAUUCGAAUUCUUUCUUUGCUUUACUUUUGUGUUUACAUGUGUGUUUUGUCAACUUAUGCAUUUUUUUAGAUAUGGUUGAUCCUGUGUGGGAUGUCGCUAUUUUACGAGACGCCAUGAGGGAACUGCAGAAGGAGGUUCAUGACCUGCAUUGGGAGUUGGCCGCUAUCAGAGUAAGGAUGCUGGGGGAGAUCUGCAAGCUGCGGAGGGCACUGCUGCUGCCCUUUGAAGAUUGGCCGGCUAACCAUACAAAUAAUAAUGAUGUUAAUAAUGAUGUUAAUAAUGAUGAUAAUAAUAAUUAAGCUUUUUUUCUGUUAUCUAUGUAUUUUUUUUUGUUUUAUAAAAAUUAUGUUUGAUGCACUUGACUUUUUAUUUCUUAUUUAAUUUUUAUGCUGUCUAUUUCUAUUUCUUAACGAAUGACAUGUCUACAAUUAAGGAAUAAUUUGAUUCCAGUAUCAAUAGCAAGAACAUAUGAGUUAUCUGUUAGGUUUUGUUUGUGACAGGGGCUAUAUCUGAAUUUUGUUGUUCGAAACAUAUUAGUAAUCUGAUGAAACAGAUUAUUUAUCUGUUGAAGCAAAUUACUAAUCUGGUGCAACAGAAUACCCAUNNNNNNNNNNNNNNNNNNNNNNNNNNNNNNNGAAUACCCAUCUAUUCGAUUCAUAAUCAUAUUACGGGUACCUAGAGCCCUUAAACAUGAAUCCAACAUGAGUCUACUGUUACAAUAGAACAUUUAUCUGGUGCCGCAGAUAAUGAAUCUGUUUAAACAGAUUGCUCUUGUAUUGCAUUCAUGUUCGCGUGCAAACUAUUGUUGAAAAAACAACACACUAGCAGUUACCCAGAUUCAACUAAAAAGCAUAAUCUGACUCACCAAAGUCUCCUCUCAAGUAAAUUCCAAAGUUGAAAGUGAUUUACGAAACAAAAUUUAACAUAAGAAUUUGAUCAAAGAGCAGCAGUCGGGGUAACAACAACAACAACAAUGGUCAACAAGAAGAAUAUGAAGUUGAUAAUGAAAUAUAAGAUGAUGAUAAUGAAUCAGAAGAUGAUGAAUAAAGCAGCAGCAACAAUGAACAACAAAUAUCGUGAAGAGAGAGAAAAUAAAAACGGAUGAGGAGAGAGAAAAAGACGCAUUUUUUCCCUUCGUUCCCCAUUAUAUAUUAACUAACAUUUGAAUCAAAAUGUAAAUUUAAAAAAUUGUGGGUUAUUUUGAAAUUUUUCAAACUUUCUUAAAUCAUAAUGAAGUAUUUGUCACCUCUACUCAAUUAUUAAGACCUGUGUCACCUACACCUCAUUUUAAAACUCUUUUGUCACCUGUGGUCCAAACCCCCUAGUUAUUGUGGUGUGCAAAAAUUAAAAAACAAUACAAAAUAGAAACAAUUGCAAAUGACGCAAAGAAAAAACAAAGGUCAAUCGUCAACACUUAAACAAAAAAGUCUGUUAGUAAGACAAUGACUUUUUUAUUUUAUUUUUUGAAGUAGAAUUAUUAUUAGUAUGUAUAAUACGGUUUAACAAUAUUCAUCCAUUUAUAUUAACUAGAUGUGGAAGGCCCGUGCAGGGGUUUAAUAUAUGUCAUUUUUUUAAUCUUAAGUGAUACAAAUAAUAUUUAGAUAAUCAAUUAUAUUUUUAAUAUAUUUUUAGAUAUUUUUAAUUGUAAACUAUUAUAAUUUAUAAUAUUUUUUAUGUAAUUUUUGAAUAAUACUAUAUAUUAUUCUCUUUGUCUAAUGACAAUGACAGUCAAUUAUAUUUUUUAAAUAAUUUAAAUUUUUAAUUAUUAUAAUUUAUAAUAUUUUUUCUUUUAUUCUACUAAUUAGAAGUAACAUAGUAAAAUUAUUAUAAAAAAUACUUGUAAUUUUUUUAAAUGGGCCCAUAAAAGAUGCAUAGUUAAUUUAAAAUAUCAAGAGUUAAUUUAUUAUUUUAUGUUUAUUUUACCUUUUUUAAUAAAUAUUAUUAAUUUUUUAAUACUUAAAUGACUCAUAAUAAUCAAUUAUGAGUGAUAUAAUAAAAUCACAGUUGAAGCAACUGAAGUAGUUAUGUCAUAAAUGUCUAUUUUAUUUUAUAAAUGUCUAGUUUAUUUUUAUUAAAUAUUAUUAAUUUUUAAUACGUAAAUGACUUAUAAUAAUUAUUUAGAGGCAAUAUAGUAAAAUUCUGGUUGAAACAGCUGAAGCAGGUAUGUCGAUCAUGAGUAGUCUGUUUCAGCUGCUUAUUUUCACUUAUUAUAUAGGAGAAAAAUAGAUAUUCAAAAAUACUUAUUUAUUUAAAAAAUUAUUUAUUUAUUUAUUUAUUUAUUUAUUUUACCAAUUUAUCAUUGCUAUUAAAUAAUAUUUAUAACUCAAUGCAUUUUCAAAAAAAUAAAAUUUAUUUAUUAAAAGAAAUUCUAUAAUUAAUCUACGUUUUUGUUCUUGAUUUUGAUCAUCGGUGCAUGUCAAGACGUCAUUUAAUAUCAACAAAAACACGUUUUUUCAGUGAGCUAAUUGAAUGAAAAAAUCAUAUUUUGUAGCAUAAAUUUAUAUUAAAUAUAAUGGAAAAAAACCUAUAUUUUUCUCUUUCUUUUAAGAAAAAAAUAUUCCAAACCGACACCCCAUUAGACUUUUUUUAAAAAAAUUACUUUUGACACUGAAACUUGGACCUAUUUUUGUUGAACACUUAAACUUGGACUUAUCUUAAGCCUGUCAAACGAACUGAUUUGACCCGGCCCUAUCCGACCCACCAUAGCGUUCCGGCAUGACCCGACCCGAUCAACUCACGGACUAUAAGUUUCCUGGUCCCGGGCUGGGUAAUUUUUUUUGGGCCCGAUUAACCCGGUCCGGACCAAACCUGGUCCAAGCCCGCUGGUUAAUCGGCCCGGUAUCUUUUUUAAAAAAAAACAAAUAUAUUUUUUCGACAGUUUGGUCUAUUUGAUCGUUGGGCCCAACGACUAUAUGACCGCUUGGGCACCAAAAAGGGCUAAAUGCCCAUUUUAAAUAAAAAAAAAUUCAAUUAAAAUAUUUUUUUAAACCCCAAAAAAUUUCUAUAAAUCCCUACACUUUCAAAUCAUUUUCCACACAAUUUUUAUUCUCUCAAAUCUCAUUCUCUCUCAAAUUCAAAUAUUCUAUAUAUUUCCUAAAGUGCUCAAUUUAAUAUUUUAAUUUUGUGAUUGCAAAGUACGAGUGAAAGUUUUCGGAUACUUCCAAAAUUUGGUAUUGCCGUUCCAUCUCUUACUUUUAAUUUUUAAUUAGUGCAUUAAUUGUUGAAUAUUUAAUUUUAUUAUAUUUGCGUAUUUUGAAUUUUUUAGUUUGAUUUAUAUUAUGGAUAAAUUAAGAAACCUCGCCACUAAAAGUAUAAAAAAAAUUGUCCCGAAAGUGGUAGUGGUAGUAAAAAUUGAAUUACUAGCGGUAGAGAUACUUCAAGUAGUAGAUAUACCCGUGUGCCGCCUCCGGUAUCGCUUAGUCAACCUUUUGAGGAAGAAGUAGGUGUAGGUGCUCAUAAUACUUUUAUGUAGAGGCUUAGGAAAAUUACGGUAUAGAAGAAGAAAAUGAAGUAGAUGCGGUUGAUUUAGAUGAAGAUGACGAAAAUAUUGGUGAGACAAUCGUAGUAGGAAAUGCUAAUAUUAGAUCUGAAUCGGUUAAUCGCCCUCCCCGUCCUCCCCGCCCCCCAAGAGCUCGUAAAACAACUAGUAUUACAUGGCAAUUUUUUACACGUAUAUCAGAUACUGAGGUGCAAUACAAUAUUUAUCAACAAAUACAUAAGCAUAAAAGAGGAGGCAAGCAAAUGGGUACGGGUACGUUAAUGAGAGAUAUAAGUGAUAAUCACGAAAGAUAGUUACUUAUUGCAAAAGGUGGUCAAGAUGUUGGUGGGCCAACACAAACUAGAAUGAACCCAACAACCGGUCAGGUAAUUAAGAAGUAUAAUAAAUUGAGGGACCGGAAAGAAAUAGCAAAAAUGGUAGCUGUGGGUUGUUUGACUUUCAGUUUUCCUUCUUCUGAUGCUUUUAUUCAUUAUAUUCAAGCAAUUUAUAAUCCUAUGUUUAGUGGUAUUUCUAGAAGUACUUGUCGUACCGAUAUUUUUAGACUUCAUUCACAAUAUUAUUUUUAUUUAUCUACAUUGUUAAAAAAAUAUUCAAUGUAGAAUGGCUCUAACUUCUGAUCUUGGUCGUACUGUUAAUAAAAAUGAUUAUUUAACCAUUACUUGUCACUGGAUAGAUAGUAAUUUUACUAUGCAAAAACAUAUUCUUGCUUUUUUGUAUGAUGAAGAUCGCAAAUAUACUGGAGAUUUUAUUGCUGAUUCGAUUGCUAAAGUUGCAGAAUUUUAUGGUAUUGAAAAUAAAAUCUUAUGUAUUACUUUUGAUAAUGCUUCUAACAACAAGACUGCUAUUACAAAGUUAAAAUCUAAGCAAUCUCCGUCGUUACCUGAAAUAUUUCAUGUUAUGUGUGCUUUUCAUGUAUAUAAUUUAAUUGUAAGACAUGGUCUUGAGUUUUUUGAGUUUUAUAUUGAAAAAAUCCGGAUUGCGGUUGGUUUUAUUCAAGGAAAUAAUCGAAGAAAAAAAUUAGAGAAUUUAAAGUUAAAUGUGAACAAAAUGGACUUGCACGGAUAUUGAUGCCUGAAGAAUGUGAUACUAGAUGGAAUGCUACAUAUAAUUUUUUAAGAACUUGUUGUAAAUAUAGAGUUCCUAUUACACUAACUUUUAACCAACAUUGUGGUUCAUUUGCUGAUUCGACUGAAUGUAUGCUACAUGAUUCUGAUUGGGCUGUAAUUGAUGAUCUUGUUAUUUUUGGAAAAAAUUUAUAUAGCUACGGUUGAAUUUUUUGGUACUUAUUAUUCUAUUAUUUGUAAUAUUUUAGCAUAUAUAGCGGAUAUUUUUGGUUUUCUCAAAGAAUAUAAGAAUAAAAAAAGGUUACAAAGAAGCUGUUGGUGCUAUGUUUGCUAAAUUUAAAAAAUAUUUUUUUCCGAUUCUCCCUGUUUACUUGGUUGGUGCUAUGCUAAAUUCGUGUAUGAAAUAUACUACUAUGUCCCACUUUAGUACUCUUAUUUAUUCUAACUUAGAGAUAAAUACUAACAAUGAGUCUGAUGAUGAAGAACAAGAACAACCAGAUUUAUGGACGGCUAGGAGUGAUGCGAACGCUUACAUAGAUAAAUUAUAUAACCAUUAUGCUGAUUUACUUGAUUUAGCUGUACCGACAAAUAUCACUUCAACUAUCGCUCCUUAUCCUCCCGAGGAGCCAUCAUCUUCUAAAAGGCUGACAUAUAGUGAUUUUUCUAAUUACUUUUAUGAUUUAAAUGGGUGGAACAGUGUUGAGGCGGAAGCUUACACAACAACUUAUCGGGAAGAGCUUAAGUAUUAUCUUCGAACGUCGAUAGAGGAUCGCAGAUGACGAAUCAACUCGUUGGAUUGGUGGAGGAAUAAUGAAACACAAUAUCUUGUGCUUUCAAGAUUAGCUAGAGAUAUAUUGAAUGUUCCAAUAUCAACCGUUGCAUCGGAGAGCGCUUUUAGUCAGGGACGAUAACAACUUGGAGACAACUGACACUCAUUGGAAAGCAAUGCUAUGAAUGUUCUAGUUUGCCUGGAGAUUGGAUUAGAGCGGAACGAAGAAAUCAAGGAAUAGAGGUGAAGUCGAACGACGAACAGAAACUUGAAGAAAUUAUGACUUCAAAAGAGAACUCAGCAGAAUCAAGUUCAGUGCAUGAUUUUGCCUCCAUUGACUUUGACUAUCAUAUGCAAGUUCCCAUUAAUAUUAACAUGGAUGAGUUGGAAAAAAUGAUGAGAACUUUGUAGAUUUUUCAUUCAUGUACAUUAUAAAUUUUGAAUCAUUUUGCAAUUAAUAAAAUAUAACAUUCAUUCACUCCUUAGUCCUUACUUUGUAAUUUUUUUAAAUUUAAUGAUUUAAAUUGAAUUUCUAUUUUAAAUUAAAUACUUAGUUUUAAUAUAUUACUAAUUUAUUAUCAAGUAUUAUUAAUUUAUUAUAUUAAGUAGCAUAUUUUUUAAAAUAGUACAUAUAUUGAAUGAUACAUAUAUAUGUGUAUAUAUAUUCUAUAGACUCUAAAGUAGUAUAUAUUUAANNNNNNNNNNNNNNNNNNNNNNNNNNNNNNNNNNNNNNNNNNNNNNNNNNNNNNNNNNNNNNNNNNNNNNNNNNNNNNNNNNNNNNNNNNNNNNNNNNNNNNNNNNNNNNNNNNNNNNNNNNNNNAUAGUAUAUAUUUUAUAAAUUAGUAUAUAACUAUAUAUAUAGUGUGUGUGUAUAUUGUAGUAUAUGUUUUAUUUAAAGUAGUACAUAUAUAUUGAAAGAUACGUAUAUAUGUGCAUAUAUCUUUUAUAGACUCUAAAGUAGUAUAUAUUUAACGUAUACAUGUAUAUAUGUUUUAUAAAUUAGUAUAUAACUAUAUAUAUAGGGUGUGUAUUUGAGAUAAGUCGUGUCAUUUAAAGUAGUACAUAUAUAUUGAAAGAUACGUAUAUAUGUGCAUAUAUCUUUUAUAGACUCUAAAGUAGUAUAUAUUUAACGUAUACAUGUGUAUAUGUUUUAUAAAUUAGUAUAUAUAUCAUUAUAUUGUAGUAUAUAUCUUGUAGCAUAUUUUUUAAAGUAGUACAUAUAUUGAAUGGUACGUAUAUAUGUGUAUAUAUUUUCUAUAGACUCUAAAGUAGAUAUAUGUGUAUAUAUUUUUUAAAUUAUAAUGUAGUAUAUACUAUAUAUAUAGUGUAUAUAUAUUGUUUAACGUAUUUAAAAUCAGGAAAUUGCAUGUCAUAGACCCAAAUAUGGGUGGCUUUAGAUAUUUGAUCCCAAUAAGAAAUGUUUUUAUAGAAUAACCUUCCUUACUUUUUAAGUAUAAUACAAGUAUCAUUUUGCCCCUCUUCACCUCAAAUAUAUUUUUUAAACUUUCCAUAUUUAUUUGUCUUCCAAAUUUUAUUUUUAUUAUUUUUAAUUUUUCCUUUAAUUUUAUUAUUUUCACUUUUUCCUUUAAUUUUAUUAUUUUAUUUUUUAUUUUUUUAUUUUUUAUUUUUCCUUUAAUUUUCUUUUCAUGUUUUGAUUCAUUUGUCUCAACCUUUAUUUUUUUUUCUCUUUUUUUUUUCUCAAGCAUUAUAUAUUUCUUUUUUUUUUUUAAUUCAUUUUUCUUUAACCUUUAUUUUUCUUUUAUUUUUGGUUUUUUAUCAGUUCUCUUUUUUUUCCCUCAUUUUUCUCAAACUUUAUUUUUAUUUUUCCUCUCAUUAUUUAUUUUCUUAAUUUUUUUAAUUCUUCGCUUUUUUCUUAAUCUAUAUUUUUUUUCUUGCCUUUUUUUUACUCUUUUUUUUAUUUCUCUAUUUUGUUUGAUCGUUUUUUUCUUUUUUCAGUUCUCAUUUUUUCCCUCAUUUUUCUCAAACUUUAUUUUUAUUUUUCCUCUCAUUUUUAUUUUUCUCAAUUUUUUUAAUUCUUUACUUUUUUCUUGAUCUUUAUUUUUUUUUCUUUCCUUUUUUUUCUCAAUCUGUUUUUUUAUUUUUCUAUUUUGUUUGAUCGCUUUUUUCUUUUUUUAUCAACUUCUAUUAUAUUUUGCUAAUAAAUAAAAAAUAGAAAAUCUACAAAGGUAUCUUCGAUUUUUGGCAUCAAAGAAAAUUUAAGGGCAUGAAUUAUUUUUAUGAAGUUCUUUGAAAAUUCUUGAGAUAAGUCGUGUCUCUAAGGCGAGAGUGUUAGAAUAUCUCAUAAACAAAGGCAUAAUGUGGUAGUGUCAACUCUUUUCCGUGGGGCAUAAUUUAUUAUUUGAAAGUCUUUGAGCUAAGUCUUGCCUCUAAGGCAAGAGUUGGAGAACUUGAUAAAUGAAGACAUAACAUGGUAGUGUCAACUCUUUUCCGUGGGGCAUAAUUUAUUAUUUGAAAGUCUUUGAGAUAAGUCUUACCUCUAAGGCAAGAGUUGUAGAACCUCAUAAAUGAAGACAUAGCAUGGAAGUCUCAACUUGUAAUAUCCCGUAUUUUUCUAGCCUAGAUUAACCCUCAGUACAUGGGUUAUCCUAAAUAAAAUUUUUGAAAUACUUAGUAAUUUUCAUAUUUGACCCAUCUAUUGCGUAGGAAAUCCAAUUAUCUUUCCAACGAUAUAAAAUUUGCCUAAAUCCGACAACCGAGUAAGAAGUUAUGGCGAUUUUAACUUUCAAUCGUUAAACGUCGCCAUUCAGGCCAGUAUCGCGUCGCGGAAUGUGUUAAGAUAGAAAUUGUUGAAUUCUAGUGUUGCUCUGCAAUGUUGGCGCAUCACACCAUAUACCUAGUUCACAAUUAUCAAUUUCCAGUGUACCAACGCGAUUCCACCUCGUCGCGGUGCACUUCCAGUUCGUAAAUAAAGUGGCAACACGGUACCACCGCAUCACGUCACCAUGAAAUUUCUUAGUUAUCAUUUUUCAGUGGCCUGGAGCGAUAGUGGCGCGUCGCACCAGGGGUCCAAAUCGGAAAAAUUUCACGAAAAAUUUAAGUUGUGUCUAGGGUUAAAAUAGUCUUUUUCCAUGAUUUUAUUUCGCCCAGAUGUGCGAUUUAAGCCCUAAAAAUGUGUAAAACCCUUCAUUAUUCUCUUUUCCCCAAAUCAAAAGGUAUUUCUCUCUUAAGAAAGCAAACCCUAAUUCAAGAAUUAAGGUCAAUCCUCAAGAAUCUCCCCAAGAACCUUUAAGAAGUCUUCUUCUAAGGUAUGUUAGAUGUUCAUUCAUGGAUCUUUACCUUCCAUGGAGCCCGAUAAUCCUUUUUCAAUAUACAAGAUUUAUAAUUUAUGAUUUUCAUGUUUGAAUUAGAUUGAAUUCAUGUUCAUGAUAUUGUUUGAGUUUUAAUCCAUGAUUUAGAGUUCCAAGAAUUGAUUGUAGUAUGUGUUGAAUUAUAUCAUAUUCAUGAUAAACCCUUCAAUUUGCAAGUUGAUUGUUGUUACUAUGUUAACCCUAAGUGUUUAUGAGUUCAUGAACCAAGUAUGCAUCUUAUGUGUUUGAUAAAUUGUCUAUGAGAAUGAAAUCAUGCCAUUAUAGCAUGCUAAUAUGUAUUUCCCAUUCAUGUACAAGUUAAUGCAUUACAAGUGUUUGAUGGAAUGUCUCUAUAAAUGAAUUAUGACUAAGUGAACAUUGUUAUGUUAUUCAAGAUUAUGUUUUGCUUUACUUUUCAUGUUAUCGAGUCCUGGGGGUAUUUAAUACCCGACAACUUAGCUAUUUAUUUAGAGCCAAUGUCAGUUACAAAAUAGUAUCAAUCAUUUCACGAUCAGUAGUACUCUCAGUCUAUUACAGAACUCAGUAGAAUUCUGUCAGUUACAGAACUUAGGAAAACUUAGUAAUCUCAAUGAAUUCAGUCCAAAUCCGUCCAGUACAAUAGUUUAGUGUCUUUCAGUUGGGAGUAGGAUUCAACACCGAGUGAACCCAAGGAUGGGGGCUCACUUGUCAGCAGAGGGUGUGAUCCUUAAAAACAAUCCUUUCAUUCCAGAACUACGUAGCCAGAGUAGGGUAAGAUAUCAUACUUGCCAGUUGAGGGUUGAUGAGGUGCUCUAUCUGCCAGAAAAGAGUACCACCAUUCUCAUUUAGGGAACCUACCACUCGAGGGUUACCCUUCAGCUUGUCUUUACCCGUGGUACGGUACUGAUACCCUUCCAAUUGAGAUUACAGAUUGGACCCCAGCUCAGUUAUCUUAUCUUAUUUGGGGUAUGUCGGUUAGAUUAUUACCUCCCACUAUUUUAGUUUUGGUCUCAAUCUUCAGAAUAGAACUCAGUUCAGUUCUACAGAAUCAAGACUAUCAGAUACAGUCACUCAGUUAACAUUAGUUUAGAUUAUUAGUGAUCCCAGAUUAUUAGUAUAUUCAGUUAUCAGUUAUCAGAUUCAGUUUCAGUAUACUCAGUCCCAGUAUGCACAGUAUAUUCAGUAGUUAUAGGCCCUCCAUGUAUGCUGAACCAGCUCUUGCAUAUCAUCCAGUUAGUUAUUAUUCAUGUAUAUGAACCCAUGCAUUCAGCGUUACCUCAUUUAGUAUACCAGUACAUUCCCAUGUACUGACCACAUACCGUUUCUUGUGCUAUGAUGUUUCAUAUCAUAGGUUCGGACGCUCAGUUUUCUGACUGCACUUAGCCAGAUUCAGCUAGCAGUAGCCGAUUUAGCAGUGAGUCCUCAUCUAUCAAGAAUAUUCUUUUAUUUCAGUACUUCAUCUUAACAGUAUUUUAGUAGAUGGAGUUAGUUGGGGGACUGUCCCAUCAACUUCACUUUCAGAUAGAUUCAGUUAGAGACUUUUUCAGACAGUAUUCAGAUUCAGAUGUGAUUAUAUUUUAUCUAUAUUUUAGAUGUUUUGAACCUUAUGGCAUUUCAACCCAUUAUUUUGCAUUUAUUUUAGUAUUAUUGUUCAGUGCUCAUAGCAGAUAUCAUUCAUGGGUUAUCUUGUGAUCCUCCGGGGUCGCAAGCAUCGUGUAGCGUCCAAGGUGCAGACUCGGGGCAUUACACAACUCUUGCCCAUGGGGCAUAACUUGUAGUUUGAAAGUCCUUGAGCUAAGUCUUGCCUCUAAGGCAAUAGCUGUAGAAUAUCUCAUAAAUGAAAACAUAACGUCGUAGAGUUAACUCUUGCCCGUGGGGCAUAAUUUGUAGUUUGAAAGUCCUUGAGCUAAUUAAGUCUUGCCUCUAAGGCAAGAGUUGUAGAAUAUCUCAUAAAUAAAAAUAUAACGUGGUAGUGUCAACUCUUGCCCAUGGGGCAUAAUUUGUAGUUUGAAAGUCCUUAAGCUAAGUCUUGCCUCUAAGGUAAAAGUUGUAGGACAUCUUAUAAAUGAAAACAAAACGUGGUAGAGUCAACUCUUGCCCGUGGGGCAUAAUUUUUAGUUUGCAAGUCUUUGAGCUAAUUAAGUCUUGCCUUUAAAACAAUAGUUGUAGAACAUCUCAUAAAUGAAAACAUAAUGUGGUAAAGUCAACUCUUGCCCAUGGGGCAUAAUUUGUAGUUUAAAAGUCCUUGAGUCAAGUCUUGCCUCUAAGGCAAUAGUUGUAGAACAUCUCAUAAAUGAAAAUAUAACAUGAUAGAGUUAACUCUUGCCCGCGGGGCAUAAUUUGUAGUUUAAAAGUCCUUGAGUCAAGUCUUGCCUCUAAGGCAAGAGUUGUAGAACAUCUCAUUAAUGAAAACAUAAUGUGGUAGAGUCAACUCUUGCCCGUGGGGCAUAAUUUGUUGUUUGAAAGUCCUUGAGCUAAGUCUUGCCUCUAAGGAAAUAGUUGUAGAAUAUCUCAUUAAUGAAAAUAUAACUUGGUAGAGUCAACUCUUGCCCGUGGAGCAUAAUUUGUUGUUUAAAAGUCCUUGAUCUAAGUCUUGCCUCUAAGACAAUAGUUGUAGAACAUUUCAUAAAUGAAAACAUAACGUGGUAGAGUCAACUCUUGCACGUGGGGCAUAAUUUAUUGUUUGAAAGUCCCUGGGCUAAGUCUUGCCUCUAAGACAUUAGUUGUAGAACAUCUCAUAAAUCAAAAUACAAUGUGGUAGUGUCGACUCUUGCCUAUGAAACAUAACUUGUUGUUUGAAAGUCAUAAGUCUUGCCUCUACAAUGUAGUAGUGUCAACCCUUAUCCAUGAAACGUAGCUUAUUAUUUGAAAGUCGUAAGUCUUGCCUUUAUAAUGUGAUGGUGUCAACUCUUGCACAUAAGAUAUAACUUGAAUGGAAGAAAUCGAAGAAAAGAACAACAAUAAUAAAAAUUACGGAAAAAGAAGAAAAUGAAGAAAAAUAUUAAAAAAAUAAAAAUCAAAAAAAAUGUAGAAGUUGAGAGAGAAAAGGGAAAAAAAGAAAUAUUAAAUAAAAAAAAGGUCAAGAAAAAAUUAAAAAGAAAAAAAUCAAAGAAAAAAAAAGUUUUUUGUUUAUAAAUGUAGACGUUGAAAGGUGUAAAGAAAAAAAGUAAGGGUUGAGAAAAAAAAGGAAAGAAAAAAUAAAAAUAAUAUAAAAGAAAAAAGAAAAAAAAGAAGUUGAGAGGAAAAAAGUAAGGGUUAAGAAAAUUAAAAAUAAAAAGAUAAAAGAAAAAAUAAAAAUAAAAUUAAAAUUAAAAAGAGAAAAAAAAUAAAAGUUGAAAAAUACAAAUAGUGAGUUGGUAUCCAUUAUAAGUAUCAUUUAUGUAAUUUACUCCAUUGAUCAAGGGUAAUUUUGUCCAGAAAAAUAUUAAUUAAUAGGUAAAGGUUAUUUUAAGGAAGCUUUUUUUUAGGGCUAAAAUUUGAAAGUCACCCCAAUUUGAGUCUAUUUUUGAGAUUCACCCUAUAGGUGGGUAUAUAUAGUGUAUAUUGGAGGAAAAACUUUUAAUUUUUUUUGGAUUUUGACCGGUUUUGAUCAAAUUUUGGAUCGAUUUUGACCGAUUUUAGGUGGGUUGGACCAGAUUAGAUUUAGUGGGUCGGUCCCGGUUGUUUCAAUAAAAUUUACUAUUGGGCCCGGAACCGGACCGGUCCGUUUAACCUAGCCUGGACCCGGCCCACAAAUCGGCUAAAUGUAACGAGCCAAUUCUGGGUUGACCCGGCCCGACCCAAUUAACAGCCCUAACUUAUCUCUAAUUUAGGUUCCAGUUUUUGAAUAUUUAAGUGAUUGAUAAGAACAAGUCCAAAUUCUACUUACCAAAAAAAAAAAAAAUUAUACAAAUACACAACUUAUGUUUCCAAUAUUACAAAAAAUCCAACUCCCUAAACAUAUUACAAAAAUUUCAACAUAUACACAAAAUGCUAUGUAUAUGUCGGCUAUGUUAUGUAUAUUAAUAGGGGGAGAGUAAAGUAACUUAAAAAGUGGGAGAGAGUGUAAUUGCUUCCAAAAGGGUUGAUAUUUAUGUUAUUUAUAAAAAAAAAAAAAAAAAUCCAAAUUCUAGUGUUAAAGAUGCAUGGUUGGUAAUGACUUUAUUGAUGAUUAGUUGUCAUUGAUUCUAUGUACUUCUAAUUUCUUCAAUUCUAAAUUAUCUAAUGUAAUUUUUGAGAAUAGUUAUCUUAAAUUAUUUGUUAUUUCAUAAGUUUAAGAUAAAAAUUAAUUCUUAGGUUUUCAUUUUUACUAUUUGUAGUAAUUGUUAUUGAAGAUUACAAAUUAAAUACUUUAAUUAUGGAUCAUGAUGCAUAAAUAGAUAGUAAAUAUUCAAUGAAGAGAAAUUCUAUCUUAAAAUGAAAAUAAAUAUACGAUAAUUAAAUUAAAAUUAUUCAUAAUUGAUAAAUUCUUAAGAGGGUCACAUAAAAGAGAAACAAGACAAAUAAUUUGAGUUGAAGGAAAUAACAAUUAUAAGUUUGAAAUUAUUAUAUGGUAGUGAACAUUGGACCGUAAAAGUCCCACACGCACACAUAUAUAUAUUAUUGCAUAAAUGUUAACACUAAAAAUGAAUAUAUAAGAUUAGAAAAAUAAAAAAAUAUCAUAUUUGCCAAAAAUUGCAACUGUGUCACUCAAUUACAUCUUAUAACUAGAGAAAAUUGAAUGAAAGGAGUCUUUUAAGUCUUAAAUGAAGGAUUGGUGACAUUGACCAACUUAAAGGGUCAAACAAAAUUAGAAAACUUGAUUAAGUUAAUUGUGGACUUGAUUAAUAUUUUCAAAACUUUCUAAUCUUUUCACAAAUCAACCCACACCCCUCUCCUCUCCAAAUCAUCGACCGUCUCUCUCCUCUCUCUCUAGACAGCUUCUCUCAACACUCCUCCAACCAAAAGUUCUGCAAAAUUUCUCCCUUCAAUCCCCGACGAUUAAUAUUCAGGCGAGUUUCUUUUUGACUUUCAACCGUCAAUCGACGUGAAAACUUCUCCGGCAACAACAACUUCGAGUUUUUCGUCGUUCCAUUUCUUCUUUCACAGGUAAAAAAUUAUGUCUUUUCAGUUAUGAAGAAACAAAGGAACUUGAGCCAACUUCUCUUCUAGUAUUGGUUAACAAUUUUAAUAUUUCUUACCUAAAUUUGAAAUGUGGACUAAAUAAAACCCUAAUUUCUGGCAUUUCUUCUCUACUCUUUUCGGUGUGAAAUAUAAUUUUUUGUUGUUAUUGUAGUUCUUGUUGUCGAACUAUAGAUUUGAUUUGAUCGUGAUUUUUUGUCACCGUUGAUGUUCUUAGUGUGUGUGCGUGUUGUGUUGGUGUUGUUGGGUUGAUUUAUUAUUUUUCUUGAUAAAAAUGGUGUUGCAAUAGAUUAACCAUCUGAUGCAACAGAUUAACUAUUUGAUUCAACAGAUUAACCACCUGAUGCAACAGAUUAACCAUCUAAUGCACCAGAUUAACCAUCUGAUGCAACAGAUUAAACAUCUAAUACAACAGAUGAACAGAAUAGAUCAUUCAUCUGUUGAGACAGAUGACUCUUCUAUUUGAAAGAAAUCUAAAUAAUAUUGAUCCAAUAAAUAACUCUUUGGCAACAGAUAAGUGAUUUGUUUUAAUAGAUGUGUGGCCUAUUUUUAUUAUUUUCAACGGAUUACUCAUCCGCUACAACAGGUUGUUUAUAGGUUGCAACAGAUAACCUACCUGGUGUAAUAGAUAAGAGAUAUAUUUUUAUUAUUUCCAAUGGAUUACUCAUCCGCUGCAAUAGGUUGGUUAUAUGCUGUAACAGAUAUCCUACUUGGUGCAACAGAUGAGUGAUCUAUUUUUAUUAUUUCCAACGGAUCACUCAUUCGCUGCAAUAAGUUGGUUAUAUACUGCAACAGAUAUCCUACCUAGUACAACAGAUGGGUGAUUUAUUUUUAUUGUUUUCAAUGGAUUACUCAUCCGCUACAACAUGUUGGUUAUAUGUUGCAACAGAUAUCCUACCUGGUGCAACAAAUGAGUCAUCUGUUAUAAUUAUUUACAACGAAUUACUCAUCCAUUGCAACAGGUUGGUUAUAUGUUGCAAUAAAUAACCUUCCUGGUGCAACAAAUGAGUGAUCUAUUUUUAUUAUUUCCAACGGAUUAUCAUCCGUUGUAAUAGGUUGGUUAUAUAUUGCAACAGAUAAUUUUUCUGGUGCAACAGAUGAGUGAUCUGUUUUUAUUAUUUCCAAUAGUUUACUCAUCCAUUGCAACAGUUAGAUUAUAUGUUGCAACAGAUAACAUACCUGGUGCAACAGAUGUGUGGUCUAUUGGAACUGUUAUUUUACUGUUUUGCAUAUUAGAUUUACAGUUAUCCUUUUUAACGAUGUAUUAAUCAAUUAUAAUCUAUUUUAUGUUCCUGUUAAUUUAAGAUAAUAUGGCUCCCAAAAGAAAAGAAAUCGAAUCAAGUCCAAGUAAAGGAACAAGUGAAGCAGCUAGGCUACAUCCAUCACUCUAUGAGCCUGCUUUACAAGCGUUAUCUCAAUCAGGAGCAGAAGAUAAUGAACACAGGGAGGAGGAAUAUUUCAAAGAGAUGGUCCAAAUGCUAAUAUCCCUUCCAUCGAAGAGUUGGUCAAAACCUUCAGCAUUGGUCGUUAUCUUGUGAGAAUGCAGUACGAUGGUGCUACAGAUUUAACGGGUGAUUUCGUGGUUAAGUCAUCCAUGAAAAAAUCUUUUGACACCUUCAGAAAAAUACUUCGAGAACAAAAAUUGGAUUCUUAUUUCAGGAAAAACUGCUUUGGGUAAUAUCUUGAUUUGCUGGAGGACAACAAUGCUUUUUUCCGAAUAAAAAUGGUACAUGAUCUUCUCAAGCAUAGAUUUAUGUAUGAAAACAAAGAUAAGAUGGAUGAGGUGUGGAUAAAUUACUAUGGAAUGUCUGUUUGUUCUAGUUGGAAGGAGUUUGUCAUAGUUACUGGACCAAAAUAUUAUCCUCCUCCUCCUUCUCAAGUUAUACCUACUUUAACCCAAAAAAAUACCCCGCACACCCCAAAAUCUAAAGGCAAGUCGAGUGAUCGUGAUGACCUGGUGCCCAUUGUUGGUCCAAGCUUCAAAAACAAAAAUUUGAUAGAAGCAUUGAAAGGUAAAAGACUUUUAAAGAAGCAUAAGCAAUAAUUGUUCUUGGUAUGGUUUGUACAUAAUAUUCUUUGGGCGAGAAACAUUAACAACAACAUAAGCCUCGGUUUAAUAAAUCUCUUUGAGGAUCUUCAGGCAUUUAACAGCUAUUCUUGGGGUUAUGAAAGCUUCAAAAUGACUAUCAAAUAUUUGGUGAAUCCGUUAACACCAAAGACAGUCAACUCAUAUGGUUUUUUAUGGGCUUUCAUGGAAAAUAUUUCUUUUAUUAUGGUAUGAUUCAUUUUUUUAUUCAAUAAUGCUUUUGAUUUAUUGGCGUUAUAUUAUAGGCUUGGGCAUUUGAAGCCAUUCCUUAUUUGACACAAGAAGUGAACUACCAGGAAGAAGUUUUCUGUCCAAAAAUUCUGAGAUAGUUGUCGGCAAAAACUGAUAAAAAUGUAAAAUUUCUUGAUCUUUUCAAUCCCCCGAAGGAAGCAGUAAGUCUAAUUCUAAUCAAGUUUUUAUUUUAAUUAAUGAUUAUUUAAAAUGAUUUUAUCAUCAUUCUAAUAUAUGUACUGAUUUAUUUUAGAUUGUCCAUCUGUGGCUUGUUCCGACCAAUCAAGAGUUAAAGAUGCCAUUUUUUCUUACUUUACGGUCUGCGCAAAUUUUAUAGGACCCUAAGGUCAUUGAUAGAAUAAAAAUGGAAUUGUUUGGAGCAACAUCCAUCUCAAGAAAAAUAAUUUUGGAGGGUGGGAUUCUUGUUGUUGAUGAUGGUAGUGGUAGUGGUAGUGAUACUGCUGUUGGGGCUAAUGAUUCUCCUCUUACGGUUUUUGAAACAACAAGCCAUUAUGAUAAUGAUCAUACUGGUUAUACAAAUUUUACCACUUCUAGCAAAUGUUCUGCAUGCAAAUGUCAAGACUGCAAGGCGAAAAAUGAUUGAGUGACUAAUACUAUUAAUGCACUAAUUGCUUCUGUAAAAGAAAUAACAUCUAAGAGGGGAGUCAUUCUAUCAAAGAGAAUUACAUAUCCAUACACUCCACUAGAGAUCAAGGUGGCUAAGAGGAGAAGGAAAGAUAUUUCCAGGACAUCAUCAAGCAUCGAAAAAAUCAAAAUUUCAUCACCUCUGUCAUUUUCUUGCACCGCUGUUCAAUGUACAAGGGCCACAGAAGAGCUGCAUGAGCUGAAGAAGAUGAAUGUAUAUCAUUUGUUCCAACAAAUAAACAGGCACAUAUCUAUUUCAACAAAUGAUACAUCUACUAAAAAUUAUCAAACAAAUAUAUUUAUCUGUUGCAACUAUUGUCUAACCUGUUGCAACAGGUGCGUUAUCUAUUGCAACAUAUGUCCUUUUAUUUUAGCAAAUCAAAUAGGUUUUCGUACUAUGUUAAUUUGUAUCAAUAGAUGAGCCUUAUGUUGCAACAGAUGGGUCAUCUGUUCGAAAUUAUCGUACCACUUUAUUUUACCAGUUCAAAUUUGUCCCAAUAGAUGAUCCAUUAAUUGCAACGUAAGACUCAUCUAUUGCAACAGAUAGACAAUCUAUUGUAUAUCUGUAAUAAGCAUUGACAAUUAUAGCUUUCCAGGUGGAUGUCACAGUAGAAGCUACUGCUGAAGAGCAUAAUAUCACAAUUAAUAAUCCAUCAACUAUUUUCAAAAAAGAAGAAAAAGUGGAGCCUGUCAGUUUGAGAGAAUGGAAGAAUUACCCGUUUGAAGGGUUUAACAUCUUGGACGAGGCUCCAAAAAAACUAACAAGGUUGAUCAACGACUAUUCAGAAUGGAUUGCCAAUGGGCUGUUAAACCAUCACGCCGGCAGGUACAUAAAUCAAUUUUAAAGAUAUUAAUUUAUACAAUUCUUAUUGUAAAAACAUGACAUUAAUACAUAUAAAUUAUCAUGUAAAAAAAAUGAUGCACACUACAAAGUGAACGAAUUGAGUCUUGAUUUUGAUAUGUUUGACUUUUUUGUUGCACAUCUCGAAACGAAGAAUUGGUUCUAUUUGAUGUCACAACCCCAAACUUGCUGGAAUGAUGAGGUUUAAAUGUCAUACAUAUUACUAUUAAUUAAUACUCUAUUUAAUUGCAUCUGUGUAUUAAUUUUUGCAUCAUGUAAUCUAAAAUAUUUGAUAAUAUAUGCAGCACAUCGAUGUCAUUUUUUACUACCUCCAAAAGAAGGCCAAGUUGCAAAUAUGAUAACAAUACAGAUACACGAUAGACAAUUAUUUGUAUAAAUUUUACAUCAAUAAUGCCUAUGAUAGAUAUUGUCAACAACAACUGGAAGUUUCUCGAAAUGAGAAACACUUAAUCAACAUCAUCAAAGGUUUUAGCAUUCCAGCUGGCUUACCUUGGCAUUUGAUCGAUGAAGUGUACAUAUCAAUUAAUUUUAGUGCGGAAUUCCAUUGGGUGUUGGCUGUCGUCGUUCUAAAAGAGAGGCACAUUCGAGUUUACGACUCGAUGUUGCGAAGGAUACGUUUUGGGCCAUCAUCUGAGAUACAAAAGUUGUCCAAAAUAUUGCCUACUUACUUUUAUAUGAGUGGGUUUUAGGACUAAAAGGUUCGUAUUGAUUGGUCGACGAUCGAAGCAUACCGGGAUAAAAUGGGUAAUCCAUUUGAUGUAGAAUAUGUUGAAAGAAUUGCUCAAAAAAUCAUUGGUAGCCUGUAAGUAUAAGUAUCAUGAUUUAGUUUCAUUUCAUAAAUUUCACAAUGCUUACAUAAACUGCAAGAUAUGGAUUAUCCAUUUUUUUUAAAUGCAGGAAUUGUGGUCUUUUUGUUGCCGCUUUCGCUGAGUAUUUGAGGAUGGAUUACAAGUACCAAGUGAUAGACUUGAUGCCAAAUUAAUCCGUAAAAUAUAUACUACUCUUUUAUGGAAAUACGGAGAAGCAAAAGCUCAGAAACCAUUCGCAAGCGACAUUAAAGAUCCACGACGACCAAACUCAAAUUCCGUAGCACCGGAUGAAGAACAAGUUUUCCAUAUUGAGUAGAUCUUUAUAACUUGAGUCUAUCAAAGUAAUAACCUCUCCUACUUGGUUAACUUGUUGAUUUAUUUGUAGAGUAGUUCAUUUGUACCCAUAAUAAUUUUUUACAUUUCACUUAUUUGUUGAGUUAUUUCAUGUAAUUUUCGAAGGCUUCAAUUUAUUUUAUGUUGUCUAUGAAUAUAAUUUAAUCCUUAGUUUUGAACUUGUUAAUUGAAAUAAAAUACUAGAUUCAAAUAUCGCAACAGAUAAUACAUCUUCUGCAACAAACAACAUAUCUUAUCAAAAAAAUUUAGACAUAUAUUGCAACAUGUAAGUCAUCUGCUGGAAAUUAUUUAACAGGUCUUCCUGCUUUUUUUAUUUGUUCCAAUAGAUUACCUAUCAGUUGUAACAUAUAGAUUAUAUGUUGCAACAGAUUGUAUAUCUGUUGUGACAGACAGACAGACAGAAACAUUUGCAUAAUGCAACAGAUGACCAACCUAUUGCAACAAAUAAUCAAUCUAUCACAACACGAAUGAUAUCUAUUACAACAAAUAGAUAAUCUGUUGCAUUAGAAAAUUCAAAUUUCGUCAGACAUAAAAAAAUUGUCACUACACUGUAAAGUGAACAAAGUGGCUUGAAAUAAAAAAUUAUUAUUGUGUUUGUCUUUAAACAUAUUUUUCUUUAUACAAGGGCUCCAAGCAUUUAGUUAGGACCUGAUAAACCCAGACCUCUUGCAUAUUUUCCACAACGGCGUCGCACAGACCGGCUGUUUCUAUGUCGGUCAGCAAACACUCGAUGUAUGUAAGCGAGUACGACCCGCACGCAGGACCAGUUUUAUUUUUUUGAAGGUGGACGUUCUUAUUUCGACCUUCAAAGUCCCAUGAUUCCUUUUCUUCAAGACUUUCGCCGACAAAUGAUCCAUCAGUUUACUCUGUGUCAACAACUUCAAGAGUGGAUGCACGUGGGUUAAAAACUUGGCCUUCUUGAAGACAGGUAAGUUGCAGUCAUAAAUCUUAAUCUUUCCCUCGUCAAAUAGUAUCUCAACAGCGAGAAAAUGUUUGACUUUCACGUUCAUGACUACAAGGAUUCUCUUUGCCUUGGUCCAGCUCUUGCCAUGUGGAUAUGGCAUUUUUCCUCUAAUAUAGUUAAUCAUGUCUUCAUCCCAUUUGAACGUAGAAACUAACUGGUUAAUUCCCCAGCUGCCGGGACCAGUUUGACUACGGAGAGUAUCGUGCCUACUCUUAAAAUUAUUGUAGAAGUUGAGGUUUAUUAUCCUAUCGGCAACAUCAUAAGCAUUCGGGUACACUAAUUGCCUGCCCCUCAUGAGGCAGAGAAUUUCAUCAACAUACUGUGGUAUAAGAAGAUAAUUUUUAAAUAGGUUAGUAAUUGUAAAGAAAAAAAUAUAGUGGAAAGAUUCUAUUGCGGAGGGUUCUCUGAAUCAGUUCAUAGAUUACCCAGCUAAUGCAACUUAUGCAACAGAUGUGUAUUAUGUUACAAUAGAAUACCCAGUUGUUGCAACAAAUUAUACAUCUGUUGCAUAGCUUCUUUUUCAUGGAGUAGACAGGAAGGCUAGGGCAUUAAAAGUAAACUUAUAUUGUCCAUAUACCACUCAUGCAUAUUUAUUAUACUCGUGAAGUCUUGGGCGUCAAAUAAAUGCAUGGUGUAUUCUUGUGGAACCUUCGUCUUGUCAGCCAUGAUUUUUUGCAGUUCCUUCUUCUCUUCGUAGCCAAGUGCCACGUAUAUGUCCACCUUAUUCAAUGGCCCUUGAACUUCAAUAACUCUUGGAGCAAGAGGAUUUGUAAUUUUUUGGAUUUUCGAUUGGAGAGUACUUGGCUAAUUGCUCUUUUCUUGCUCAUAACAACCGUUGUAGAAAUGUAUAGGUCCCUCACCUUCUUAGAUGGUAUGACACCCCUUUUAGAUUUUAACUCAUCGACAGCUUCAGCAAUAGCCUCUAGUUUUUCAAGGAGUUUAUCCUCUCUGUCCUUGCACACUUUGCAUUUGCAAUGAGAACAUGGGGGUGAAAAAGGGUGAGAGGGAUCUGUGCAAGGGGUGUUUCCAAAUGUAUUUAUUUUUCCAGAGCACCAACAUGCUCAUAAUCACUACUAGCAGCAGUAGCAGCAUGAUGUCUUCUACCAUCAUCAAUAACUCCACCAGCAACACCCCCAGAAGAAGCACACGAAUCUGUUGCAGUAGGUUGGUCAUGAAGAGCUUCAACAUUAGGCUGACCUUGCUUAACUGCUCCUCUUAUAGUUAUUUCUCCAGCCAAUUCCUUCUUUUUAACUCCACCAUUAGGUCUGCUAUUGUAUCAACAAGACCUAGAGUAAUAAAAGAAGUCAUCCCCAACUCCUGCUCAGUAGACACAAUCCAAGGAUACACAACCUAUAAAAAAGACAGAAGGCAUUUAAAUCAUAUCAUAUAAUAAUAAUUUGCAGUCAAUUGGGUUACAUGUUAACACAGCCAACUUAUGCAACAGAUGAUCUAUCUUCCACAAUAGUUGAUCUGUAUGUCAUAAUAGAUUGUCGGGUUCAAGGAACCAGAGCAACAGAUGGUUAAUCUGUUACGAAAUAUGGACUGUCUGUCCUAAUAAAUUACCCAUAUGUUGCACCAGUUGUAGUUGACGGAUAAUAUAUUGCAACAGAUGACCCAUCUUUCACAACAGAUGGCAUAUCUAUUUCAAUAUCUUUCUUUGAGGCAAAUUAUUUUAGUUGAAAAAAGACGUACUGGAUCAUACGGAGGGUUAAAGAGAUCAGUCUCCUUAUGUUUUUUGGUGCCCUUUGUAGCCAACCACCUAAGAAUCCUUGGAUGAGAAACCUCAUCUGGGUAAUCCUUGAACUGUUUUCGGAGGGAAAGAAUGGCUUCAAAUGCCUAAGCCUAAAAAAUGUAAAUAGGAAGCAAGCAAAAAAAAAGUCAUAAUAACUAUAUUCAAUAUAAAUUAAUGGAUGAGUAAAAAUAGUCAUCAAUUUUACCAUGAAAGCCCAAGGAAAUCCGUAUAAUGUGAUCGUCCCUGGGCAUAGCUUUGUCAGUAAAUAUUAGACAGUCAAGUAGUAGCUGUGAUAUUCCCCAGGAAUAAUCGUUGAAUUUCUCAAAAUCAUCAACAAGCACCAAUAAAUCAUCUUUAAUGACUUUCCUGACAUCUCUUGCCAAUAAAACGGAAUGGACAAACCAAACGAAGCACAGUUUCUCCCUGUACUGCUUUGUUAGGUUUUUAUCCUCGAGAUCUGCUGUCAAAUCCCCUGCUUUGUAGCUACGUCCAGCAAUUCCUAAUAACCCAUAUUUUUUUCUUGCAUUUGUUGGACCUUUUUUGGGGUGUAUCCUUGAUGAGAGGUUCUUCUGGAGGAUCGCAUCUCAAGAUGUCACUAUGGCAAAUUCUUUUAAUCCAAAAUAAACCAGCAUUCCACAGUAGAUGAUUCAGAUUUCAUCCAUCUUUUCUUUGCCCUCCUUCAAAUAUUUAUCAUCCCCCACGUACUUGAUCUUGCGCUUGAGAAGACCAUAUACCAUGCUCAUUUAAAAACGGCGAGUUUGGUCCUCAGGCAGCUUAACAAAAUAUGCGAAGCAGCUUCUAUUAAAAAGUUCGUCUAUGUUUUCAUUCUUCAUAAUACUCCUUAAUUCAUCAAAACCUUUCCCCAAAUGACAUUUAAGUACAAUAUCAUCAGUUACUUCUUUAGGGUGAUCCAUCAACACCGCAACUCAAAACCUGUUGAUACUAAUAGUUUUGACAGGAUCAUGCUGGGAUUUCGAUAUUAAUUCACGCCUUAUUGGUGAUAAAGAGUCCUCACUUUCCUCAGCUUCUUUUUGUCCUGAAUGAGAUUGUUCAGGAAGUUCUUCCGAAUCUAUUUGUACUCUAGCCUUUUUUGUUGGGUGGUCAGAUGCUGAUCCACUUUCAGUUUCUUUUCUUUUGGGAGAAUCUUUUAACUACAAACAAUAGAAAAAUAAAAAAAUACAUUACAUUUGAUAUUUGCAUAAUUUUUUUAAAAGAGGUAAGACAAAUUUCAAUAAAUUAUUAUACGACACAUUACAAAAAAAUACUCCAAUGGAUAACCUAUCCGUUGGAAUAGAUGGGAAAUCUAUUUGAAGACCUAUUUAAUAUCUCCCAACAUAUCUUCCACCUGUUGCAACAGAUGGACCACUAAGACCACCACCAACACCACAACCAAUGCCACUACUAAUGCCACAACCAAUUCCACCACCAAUGCCACCAAGACCCCACCAAUACCACCACCAAUGCCACCAAUACCAACAACAAUACCAAGACCGCCAACACUACCACCAAUGCCACCAAUACCAACAACAAUACCAAGACCGCCAACACUACCACCAAUGCCACCAAUACUAACACCAAUACCACCGACACCACCACCAAAACCAUAAAUACCAACACCAUCAAAAACACCAUCCAAUAAUAUCACGACAGUCAAAAAAACACUGCGAUAAAAACUAGGGUUUUCUUGGGUGCUUUUUAUAUUUUUAGCAUUAAAACUCAAAAUUGUUAACCCAUUCUCGAAGAUGAUAUAACUAAGAGUCUUCUUUUACAUAAUUAACUAAAAAUCCCUUAUUUUUAGAAUAAAAACAAAUGUAGAACUCUUCUCGAACUUUGUUACCUGCAAAGACAGAGAAAAUGAUGGAUACAAGCAAGAAUGAAGUCAAAAAUAACAACUAUGUGGUCGAAAAUUGGAAGAAAAUCGAUCUGUUUUGAAGGGUUGAGUAAAUGUUGUUUGUAUUGUUGAAAGACAGAGAGAGAAGAGCAAGAACUUGAGAUUUGAAAUAAGGAAAAGUUUUUCCCAUAAAUGGAUGAUUUGUUUGGGUUGAUUUGUAAUUUUGGAAAAGAAUGACUAGUUUUGAAAUUGUUAAUUUAGUACGAAUUGAUCUUAAUUAAUUUUUAAAAUUUUAAAAGAUAUAUAGUUUUUAAAACAUUAAGCUAAGGAGAAUCUUUUCAGCUCAGAGUGAUCGAUCGACGACUAGGAUCGGGAUGAAUGCAAUACCAACACCAUGCAAUUGCACUGACUCAAUUGAAGUUGUAGUUGACCCUAUGAACUCUUUCAUCCCUAGUUCUACCAAAAAUAAAUUUAUGUACUAGCUUAACAUUAAGUUAAGGAGAAUCUUUUCAACUUAGAGUGAUCGAUCGAUGACUCGGGUCGGGAAAAUACCAACACCAUGCAAUUGGAAAGAAUUAAUGGAAGUGGUAGUUGACCCUAUGGACUCAUUCAUCCCUAGUUAUACCCAAAUAAAUUUAGGUACUAGCUUAACAUUAAGUUAAUAAAUCUUAUCAAUCGAUGACUCGAGUCAACAUGAACGUAAUACCAACACAUGAAAUUGUAAAGACUCAAUUAAAGUUGUAGUUAAACCUAUGAACUCAUUCUUCCCUAGUUCUAACAAAAUCAAUUUAGGUACUAGCUUAACAUUAAGUUAAUGAGAAUCUUUUCAACUCAGAGUGAUUGAUCAACGACUCGGGUCGGGGCAAUACCAACACCAUGCAAUUGCAAAGACUCAAUGGAAUUUGUAGUUAACCCUAUAAACUAAUUCAUCCCUUGUUCUACCAAAAUCAAUUUAGGUACUAACUUAACAUUAAGUUAAUGAGAAUCUUUUCAACUCAGAGUGAUCGAUCGAUGACUUGGAUCGAGAUGAACACAAUACCAACACCAUGCAAUUGAAAAGACUUAAUUAAAGUUAUAGUUGUAGUUGACCCUAUGCACUCAUUCAUCCCUUGUUCUACCAAAAUCAAUUUAGGUACUAGCUUAACAUUAAUUUAAUAAGAAUAUUUUCAACUCAGAGUGAUCGAUCGACGACUCAGGUCAGGGCAAUACCAACACCAUGCAAUUACAAAGGCUCAAUGAAAGUUAUAGUUGACCCUAUGGACUCAUUCAUCCCUAAUUAUACCAAAAUUAAUUUUGGUACUAGCUUAACAUUACGUUAAUAAGAAUUUUUUUAAUUCAGAAUGAUCGAUCGACGACUAGAUUAGGAUGAACGCAAUACCAACACCAUAUAAUUGCAAAGACUCAAUGAAAUCUAUUGCAAGAAAUGACUGAGCUGUUGGAAAUUUUCAAAUAGAUAUUCAUAUAUGUUGUAACAGAUGACAUAUCUGAUUUAACUAUCAAAUAGACAUUUACAUCUAUUGUGAUAGAUGACUGAGCUGUUGAAAGUUUUCAAACAGUUAUUGAUAUCUGUUGUAAUAAAUGACAUAUCUGAUUUAAUUAUCAAAUGGACAUCUGCAUAUAUUGUUACAGAUGACUGAGCUGUUGGAUUUUUUCAUACAUAUAUUGAUAUCUGUUGCAACAGAUGACAUAUCUAUUUGAAAAUCUUUUUUUUACUUUUAAUUUUAAAGCGAGCUUCUGUUCGAAAGAAGAAAGAUAGAUAAAAUAGUGCUACUAAAGGCGGUAAAAAAUAUUUCUUGGAUAAUUCAAAAAUCUCAUUGACUAGUCUUAUCUUGUCUUUUCAAUGUCACCCAUUUUCCUCGUGCCCCUCAAGUUAUUAAUGAAUAUUAAUUAAUGAAAAUUUAAAACCAUGUCUAAAUCUAGAAUUAUCUUCUCUCUCCUUCAGCCUUGAAUUUAUUUUAUUCAUCUCUCAUCUUUUUCUUUCUCUCCUCUUUAGUGUUAUCACAACCUUUUUUCUCUCUUUUCUCUCCUCUUUCUCAUAAAGAUCCUUUUUGAUCUAAAUUAAUCCAUAUCUUUCCUCGACUGAAAUUUCUAUUUUGAUCCCUCUUUGACAUUGCAGGUAAGCUAUGGUUCACUAUUUCUCUUUCAUUUUCCUCUUUUUUCUUUGCAUGUUAUUUAUAUUUAUUUUUUAUUUAAUUACCAUUUACUCAUAUCAUAUUUAUUUAAAAAAAUUAAAGGAACUUUUAAGUGUUGAAUAAAUGAACCGAGAAUUUUUAUUACAAUAUGCAAAAAAAAGUCAUCUAUUGGGAGAAGUUUAAGAGCCUUAUUGACAGUAUUAUUUUUUAUAUAUGUAUUUUGUGUGUUUCUUUGUUGUUGAUGAUGUUAUUGAUGUUGUUGGUGGGUUUGGUAUUGUUGGAUCUUGUUGUGUGGUGUUUUUGAUGGUAUUGGAACAAAGGAUGUUGCUUCUUUAUUGUUGAUGGUGUUGGAACAAAUGAUGUUGUUUCUUUGUUGUUGAUAUUUUUUAUUUGUUAUUUCUUUGUAGUUUAUAUUGUUGUUGAUGUUGCAACAGAUAGAUCAAUUGUUGAAACAAAUCAAACCACUAGCAAGGCUGGUCUGAUGUAUUCCAACAGACUCCACAUCUAUUGCAAAAGACUCCACAUCUGUUGUAACAGACUACACAUUUGUUGCAACAGACUCCACAUCUGUUGUAACAGAUGGAUAAUGUUUUUUCAAUUUUUCUCUUGAUUGACAUUAAUUUUUUUCCUCUUCUUUGUAGAUAUAAGGAACUGAAAGUUGAUCAAAUUUUGUCCGACCAAUAUAAGAUGCUACAGUAAAGAUGAGUUCAGAGAAAUAAGCUGCUUCCAGAUGGAACCACUUCAUAUGUGGGAGGUAUGUAUUACUAAUAAUGUUAUCAUAAAAACACACAUAGAGUACACUGAUUUUGUGAAUUUUGUUUUUACCGUUUAGUUAUUGAUUAUUGAAAUAAGAUAUCUACAAUUUUACAUUUAAGUUUGAUAGGUCCAAAAUGAUAAGGCUGAGGGACCAUGAAUAUGGUUCUAAUAGCCUAUUAAGAUUUAAUGUCGAUUGUUGCUCAUAUUUAUGUGUCGAGAAUUGUGAAGGCAUCUAGUUUUGAUGUCAUUGUAAAGAGAUUCAAUAACCAUUGAACUAACUUUUAGGGUGCAUUAAACUCUGAGAGGGCCUUCGAAGCCUCCCACUGCUUCAACCAAGAAUGAAAAUCAAUAUUGUUAUUGUCCUAGCCCAAAUUUAUAUGGUUGGGUAGCUCAAGGUGAUGAUUAUACACCAAAAGGUGCGGUAGAAAAAUGCCUGCGAGGGAAAAUGGGGGUUGAUAAAGGACUAUAUCAUUUGAGAGCUAAUUGAAGAGGAAACAUAGGGUAGAAAGAAACUUCUAGCGAAUCUGACCGAUGAAACUGACUUAGAAAAUAAGAAAUUUGAACCAAGUGCAAAUAUAAAAGUAUAUCCGUUAAUAAAAAAUCCAUAUUUUGUUUCUCUAAAAGAAAAAUAAUGCAGAUGGACAUUUUUCUAGAGAGCUGCGACUAGGUAGCAUGGUCGAAAUUAUCACCUAGAUAGAAAAUAGCAGAAGACCAAGUAGCAACCUCACGGGCAUCGAGGGUUGAAAUGAUAUACAGUAAGUCUAGAAAACUUGCGCCAAUAACAGCUGUAGUAAAAAUAAAGAGUCUAAGAGAAGUCUACAAUUUUUGAAUUUUAAAUUGCAUCCCAUGCCUUUUUGUUUGUGUUUUCGAUUAGGUCCACUGGUAUUGACCUGAUCAGAACCACAAACAAGAUUAAAUGGCAGAUUGAGUAUCAUUACUUGCUUAGUAAUAUGGAUAUAGUUGAUUGUGUUUUAUAGCCUUAACAUACUUUCAACAUAUCUAAGAAAAGAUCAGAGACUUGCUGUAGUAUGUGAUAUUCGAUAAUUUUCAAACUUGCCAAUUUGGUAUUCAAGCUUGUCGUUGCCAUCUUUGAUAUUGGUAUAGAGUUUGUAGUCUUUUGUGAGCUCGAUCAGAAAUACUUUCUUUGAAGUUAUGGCAUUGUAGAAGCCCUUCAAAACACUUCCUUCAAAAGCCUUAAAUGAUACAUGUAGGGUCGCUAUGUAUGUUUUAGGCCAAAAUGUGUUAUGCACACUUAAGCAGUGGUCCCAACAGUUGAAUAGCUCACUUUUAUUGAUUGUUACUCAAUGCAUCUUUGUUGAACCAACCUUCAAGGGAUUUGAUAAAUUAAUUAGCAAGGAGUUACGUAACGCUUGAUCUAAAUUGACUCUACCAAGCCUAUCAAACAUUACGUAACUCCAGGCUCAUUACCCUAUCAAAAACCUUUGUCCGAGUUAGUGGACAAAUAAAAUGAGCUCAAUCUCUCAGCCUUUCUGUUGAUCGCUCUCUCCCAUAUAGAUCACAAGAUAUCCACCAUGCAAAAGUCUACACCGUCAGCAGAAAUUCUUGCUAUAGUGAAAAACUUUAGAAGGCAAGAUUAGCAAUCUCUCAAUAUCACUUUUAUAACUUUCUUGACGUCUCUUACAAUUAUAUUGGAAUGGACAAACGAAACUAAGAAUAAUUGCUCGCUAUGUCCUUUUCAUUAUAUUGGCAAGAGACAUCAAGAUAACCAUAAAAAUAAUAUUGAGAGAUUACUAGUCAUGCCUUCUAGAGACUUUCGCUCUGGCAAGUAUUUCUGCUGACGGUGUAGACUUUUGCAUGC
rnacentral:lncRNA from 1 species